rnacentral:lncRNA from 1 species
CGGCAAGUUCAGUCGAGGAUGAUGAGGAGGAAUCAGACAAGUCCAAAUCUGAAGUUAAUAACGAAGAUGAAGCAAGUGGAGAGGUAGUCCAAAUUCCUUAUUCAUCUUCUCGUACUUCUCGUACUUUCAUGAAUGUAUCAUAAGCAAGUUUAAUACAGAAAAACUAAGAGAAAAAAAACUUUUCUUGUUGUACAGGAUGACCACCAAGAUGACGAUGAUGAAGACGACGAGGACGAAGAUGACGAGGAAGACGAUGAUUGAAAUCGGUGUGCAUAACUUGAAAUAUGAUGUUUCAUUGAUGGAGGGAUGCUGUUAUGUAUUUCGUAGUAGGUUACUUUUGGAUAUCUGUGUUGGUUGAAAUAUCUGUUGUCUUGUUACUCUGCCGGUAUGAUAUUUUGCCGGCUCUACUCGAGCUUCCCUCAAUUGUUGUUAGUUAUUGUACUUAAAUUCUCCUUUGUGCAUUGUGCCUCAAAUGUGUAGGCUUAAGUAUUACUAUAAAUGUCAUUUUGAUCAAUGCUUUACUAUGUGUGUACUCAACAAAAUCAAAACCAAAAUACCAAAAUGCAAUGUUACUGCUUCAAUGAAUAAAAUUAAAGGAAUGCAAUGACAGUGUAACAUAUAUUAUUUACAAGCAAUAAGUUUGAAUGAGGUUCCUUCCACUAUGAAGCAACAAGAAGUUGUGAUGAUAUGACAUGAAUGUAGGGUCUAGCAAUAAGAGGCAGCUUUUCUAUGUACAUAAAUAGUCUUUUCAAAUUCUCCUUGUUGAUUGAAGCAAGAUCAUCUAUCUCUUUGCUGCUCAAGUACAUCCAAAGAUCACCGGAGUUUACUCGUUUAAGACUGUCCCGACAGAACGGGCAAGAUUCCGAUCUUCCAUGCCUAAACCGAAAAGAAAAAAAAAAUCAGCAAUUCUGACCGCAAUAUGACAGAUUUAGAGGUCUCUGCAAUGACAGAACUCACAACACGAUUGGCUUACCAGUCUCGGUAGCAUUUCAUACACAUUGAGUGAUUGCAACUGGGCAACACAACCAUGGUGUUCAUCUCCAUGCAACAAAUAUCACACUCUUCUUCAUCUUCUUCUGCAUCAAUUUCGGAGCUCUUUCCUCUGUUUACCAAUUCUUUACGCUUGUACUUAGUAGCACAUAGAUGUUUUUGUUUCCUAUCAUCAACAUCAGUGAUUCCUUGAUGAAGUUGCAAUAAAGACGGAAACACCACACCUGUUUAUUCAUUUAGAUUAUAAAGCACUUCUCUAAAAACUGCAAAAUCAGAAUUGCCUCUUAGUAAGACUUAACACUUACCAUAGAACUCCUUCAAACUGGCUUUUCUUUCAUGAAUAGACAUGGUUGUCUUCCCAUCUUUAUAUGCCUGCAAGACAGAAAAAACCCAACAUGUACAUCAUUAACUAGCCUGUCCGGUUAUUCGAAACACGUCGAGCGUUAAGAGGCCGAGAAAAUCACCUUGUAGAUAAAAAUUUUAAGCAAUCCUAAGGCUCCGGCGAGGUAACAGUCAGUCCACUGAACAAAAAAGAGGAAGAAAUGGGCAGUUGGGCUAUAGGACAAUCUCAUUUGAAGGCAGGCACCAUCUGGAUCACUUGGAUAAUCAGAAGCUCUGAUUCAAGACAUAUUUGCCACAAAGAUUAAUCAAAAUAAUCAACUUUUUUCAAAUUUCAAUAUUGCAACAUUAAAGAAAAGGUUCUCCCAAAUUGAAUCUUCUAAUCCCAUAAUCAAAUAAAACAAAAUCACAUAAUUACAGUGUAUUGGCAAAAUGAAUGUCAGCUUCAAGAGCUUUGAGGGAAUCCUUGAAAGACUUUCGCAUGAUCUCUCUAUUUCCUUUUUCUUCCUUCUUCCUUCUUUUGAGAACAAACCCCAUUCAUAAAUCUCUCAUAAAAAAACUGUCAAAUUAAAAGUAAAAACUCAUAGAUUAAUUAAUUAAUUAAUUAACCCAAAAACACCAAGAAGAAAAAAACAAGUACCUCGUUUUACCUGUGGGAUAAAAGAACAUGAUAAAGAACAACAUCCUCGUACCAAACCAGAGUAGAAAAAAGAACAGUCUUUCAGAUGUAGCGAGAGAUCAGAGAGAAAGUAAAUAGUAUAGUUAUUAACUAAGAAUGUCUUGUGUUGUUGUGUUGGGGGUACUCACUUGAACUACACGUAACUCAUUCGUUUUGUAACUUUAUAACAUACACGUAUUACACGUCAUGGUCAUGCUAUCAGGAGUUUCUUCUUCAAUUACCAAAAUACCACUACCUCAUUUUCCCUAUAGAAUAGAAAAUCAUGCAAAGAUCUAUUUCCAUCAAUGUUUCUUCUUGCGACCAAUUCUCACUGUUUUGCACCUCAUGCAAUUAAUCACUUACAAAUAUAAGGUAUAUACGGUGACAUUUAGUUUGAAUCAAUUCAAAACAGUUUUCAUAGCUACAAAUAUUAUAUUUUAUAACGUUUUCCCUUGACAAAACACCGAUAUAUAAUACCUUAGGGUGCCAUGUUUUUAUUUUUAUUUUUAAAAUGAAUAAACUAUUUUCUGGAUUUUUUUUUAAAAAAUUAAGAAGUAAACUGAUUCAGAUUAUUCCAACAAUUUCAGUUUAUAUUUCGAAUUACUUUAGCCAUCAUUUUUUUCUAGAAAAUUGAGGGAUAAAUUAAUUUAAAGUUAGAAAUUACGAAUCACAAUAACUUCAAUUUAUGUUUUUAAUCCAAAAAUAAUUCAUUUUUCACCUUAAUUUUGUUUACCAACUGAAGUGAAAAUAUAUAUUUACUCUGACACUAAGGUGUUAAAUUUAAAAACAUGACACAUUCUAUAACUCUUUACCGCAUAUUCAUAUAAUUAAAUUCACCGUUGGAUUGAAAACUAUUAUCAUAUAGAUCAUGUCUAUAAAAUUUAAUAUCAAUCGAAAAUGGUUGGAAUUAAACCCAAAACUUUGAGUAAUUCUGAGUCAAUCUUGAUGAAUAAGAUUCAAUCAACCGAUCAAAUUCUCUCUUAUUCUUCACUCUUCGCUCAAGUGAAUCAACCAACAUUGGUUGCAAAAUUGCAUCGCUGCACAAUGAUGAUGAAAACAAGAAAAGAGAAUUGAAUUGGGGAAGAAAGGGAAUUAUGGUAUUAUCGAAGUAGGGGAAGAAGAAGAAGAAGAAUUUCUGCAGAGUAACUAUUUGCUCUUAAAUUGAGAUUUAUUCAACUUGUGCAACUGCACUUCUGUUGUGAUCUCUUACAAUCAAUAAGGGUUACUCCCUAUUUAUAGAUUUUGGGUUUGUUUGUUUCUCAAGCAAGACCCAAAACUAACCUAACAAACUCAGCUAAAUAAACAAAUAAAGUUAAGUCUAACAUAACUAUUGAAAUUCUAGUUAUCAGACUUUGGAUGUCACACGGGUUGUUAUGACAUCCAAUUCUGCACAGACAGGAAUUAUGCAGAACUUAAAAGUAAGUGCAGUAAAUAACACAAGUAAUUGUUUACCCAGUUCAGUCCAACAUGACCUACAUCUGGGGGCUACCAAGCCAGGGAGGAAAUCCACUAUUAGUAGUAUCAAUUCAAAGCUAAACUCACCCGUUUACAACUUAUCACUUAAUCCCUACCCAAUGCAAUUUCAAUCUUACACUAAGAUCAGAGUUCCUACUCACUCCCCCUCAAUCACCUCAGUGAUUUUAAAGACACUUUGAAGUCACACUUCAAAAACAACUCUUGAUUAUGCUUCACAGCUUAAAUCAAGAUACACAGCACUCACGCUUAAAAGCUUUGAGUGACACAACACUUACAACUCAAUGAACACCCUAUGCCAAAGCAAUCAUCUACUUGAUAAUGGCUUGGCUUACAAGAUACGUCUAAUACAAGACUCACAAAAUACAGCAGUGAAGUAUGAUGGACACACUAACUCUUCACGCUUCAAAAUCCCCGAAACUGAAUGAAGGAAUGCCUUCCUUUUUAUAUUGCAGCACCUGGGCUUUUGCACCUGUAUUUUCCUGAAUUUUAGGUCACACAAGUUCCCUCAAAUUCAACAUUUAGGUUGCUAACAAAUAGGCUAUUUGUUAGGUUCAUUGAAUGUAGCUUGGUUGUUGAUUUCCUGGAUUUUCUCUCAGCUGUUGAAUCCCUAAAGAAUAGCCUGAGAAAAAGCUGAAACAGAAAACUGAACAACCUACAAUUUAGCAUAUGCUGUCAGGCAUGAAUGUCACGACAUUCAGCUUGACAUCAAGGUCCAUAUGCUGAGUCUGUUUUUCCAGAAAACAGACUGUACAAAUUUGCUGACCUGUACAUGAUCAAAAUGACCAUACUACAGUAACAGCUUACAUUAAUAAAUGUCAAAGUGUCCAACUUAACAUUUACACAAUUGGCCUUAAGUUAGUUCUGUUAUUCUCUUGAAGAACAAACUAAGUUAUAUGCUGAAGUAUAGCAGAACACCACUCUGCCUAAUCUUCAGUAGCUGCUGUCAAUGAUGAAUGUCACAACAUCCAGUUUGACAUUCAGUCAGUAGGCCUUAUGCCAGGUCUGGUUCUUCCUUGAUAACCAGACUGCAAAUGAAUACUAAGUUCUAACAGAACUUCUGUUCCUUAGUAUCUGUUGACAGGUAUGAAUGUCACAGCAUUCAAUAAUCCUGUGUUAGCUAGUCCUGCAGUAACUACAAUGUAGUCACACAUACAUGUCAUGACAUCAGUCAAGACAUUAGUGUUUUACCAUAUAAUGCAGCCAAUUAAACACCUACAAACUCCCCCUUUGGCAAAUUUUUGGCUAAAACACUUUGAUCCCCAUAACAGAGUUCAUAGCAGCGGAAUAAUACUAGCUAAUACACUCAGAGUGGCAGCACACUCACACACAUGGAAGUUAAAUAAAAACUUCGCAUAGCAGCACACACAUAUUAGAAGUUGCACCUAAACUUCAACAUCAGCUGCAGGGGGGGGGGGAAGUUAAAUAAAAACUUCACACACAUAUCAGCAUACACACAGAGGCAUACAACAGCAUACACACAGAAGCUAAAUACACACUUCAUCACACAGCAGCUGUAGUAGGGGAAAACUUCAAUCUGUCAUGAAUGGGAACCUGUUUUAAUAAAGUUUAACAAUGUAAACUUCUGUUGUCCUGGGGUAUCACUUGUCACUCCCCCUUUUUGUCAAAAAUGUUGCCAAAGCAACACUUUAAUUUACAGAUCCACAAAUAGUAAUUUGAAUUACACACAUGACAGAAAAAAACACAAAAGAAGUGAUUAAUCCUCAGCCUCAUCAUCAGCCUCCUCAUCAUCCUGUUCUUCAGAGCUGGCCUCUUCCUCCUCCUCAGCCAUUUGCCCUUCAGCUCCAUCCGUGUCCUCAGCAGUAGACUCCAGCUGCAAGAUGAGCUGUUCCAGUGCAUGCUUUCUAGCUCCCAGCUCUUUGCAGGUCUCUUUGAGAACUGUAAUAACAUCAGCUUUGUCUGGUUGGUUGCCAGCUUUGGAAGUCUCUCCCGAUGUCAAGACAAUGUCAGGGACAUGCUUGCCCAGGAACAGUUUGUAGCUGAAGGCCAAUGGACUCUCUCUUCUUUUCACGAAGUCAUUAUCUGUCAGGAUGUGUGGAAAUUGAUUCAGCACAAUUCCACAUAUGAGAGAUGGAAAGGCAAUGGGUCCCUUCACACUAAAGCUCCCAGCAUGCUUCAUUGUCUGAUCAAAUAUGUAAGCACCAUAGUUCACCCUUGCCUUGGUUCCCACUGCAUAGAUGAACUUCCCUAAUGCCACAGACACAGUUGACUUGUGGUUAGUGGGGACCCAGUUGGCUGCUCCAACUUUGUGUAGCAUUGCAUACUUGACACUUAGUUGGCUGGCUACUAGCUUCCCUUUGAGAGGCCACAUUCGGACUUGCUUGGCUGUGAUGACUUGACAGACUGUAUUGUCAGUCACUUCAAGCUCAGGUUGCUCUUCAUCCGCUCUUCCCAGAUACUGAUUUAUCACAGAGGGGGAAAAGGUCACACAUUUUCCACGCACAUAGACCUUUCGAAAUUCCUUGGAUCUCCCAUCAGCACACUCCUCUGACAGAUUUACAAUAAACUCCUUCACUAAGGUCUCAUAGCACUUAGGAAGUUGUGACACAGUUCUUAUCAAACCUGCCUCCUUGAUGAGAUCCACAAUCUCUUUACAGUCCAAUGCAUUCUGUGCCAGUUCUCUUUCCAAUGCCAGCCUCUUGUGGUAUACAUACUUCCACCUGUUAACACUGGAGGCAAAGUGGAAGGACACAUUGUCAAUGGGAACUUCUGGGACACUGGUUGCCAACCUACUGGAAGAGGGUUUCUUCCUGGACAUGGAUGCUGUGACAUCACAUGGGGCAUCAGAUUCAGACUCAACCACCACAGCUUUGGUCUUCAACUUCUUAGGCACCUCUUUGCUCCAAGCUUUUGUAGGACCAUAGCUUUUCCUCUUGUGUGUACUCUCUGACUCUGGUUGCUUUUGAGGAUUUGUUACACCAACCUCCUUGGAGGGGGACUUCAGCUCCACAACCUUUUUCUCCCUUCUGGUCCUGACUCUCUUGGCUAUCCUAGGGACAACUGUAGCCAGAAGUUCAUUGUCUGAGAGCUCUUCCACGUUAAUCGUCUCAGCCCUAGGAUUGUCCUCAACACUUUGAGUAACAUUGGCCUUCUCACUUCUCACUUUGCCUGAGGGUUUUUCAACCUUUGAUCCCUCAUGAGCAUCUGGUUGCUCAACAUUGUCAGUGACAUUUUUCCUCAACACAACAGCUUUAUCUUGACAUGCAGCAAUGUCAGGAAUGAUUGUGUUCAAGGGAACAGAAACCCCAGGAACAUCUCGAUUGCCAGAUAGUAUCUGAGUGACGAUAGUUGCAAUGGAGUUAUGUACAUACCUUGACCCUUCCCUUGUGUGUUCAUCAAGAGCGAUUUCUGAUGAAAACCCGGUGACCGUUUCCUUAGGUCUUCUUGCAUGGGACGAAGUUGCUGCGUCAACAACUGGAUCCUCCCGGGUAGGGUGGUAAGACUCGGUGCUGAGAGAAUCAGACAUGGUGGUGUACGAGGAGGUAUCGGAUUGACGAGCCAUGCUGAAAAUCUGAGAGGGAAGAUGAAUCGUUUCUUUGGACGAGGGUUUGCACGAGUGGAGAAUGAAACGACUGAAUGUGAAACGCUUUAUGCAAGAGUAAGGUCUAUUAGAUUUUGACCACUCAGAGCCCACUAUUUGUUGUUUAAUAAUUUGACUUAUUAAACAGUAGCUAACUAACUUCAUUAGUUGCUAUAACUUUUCAGACGCACGCAUUCCCUUUUUGUCCUUACUGUACAAUGUCAUGACAUUCUGGGUGACAUUGUACUCUGUCUGCAUCAGGUUCCUCCAAACUAGAGGUGACCACCUGCCUCCACAAGCAAGGUACUGAGUUUCUGCAGACGUCAAUAACACACACCUCUGUCUAUCCCUUGCUGUCAUAUCAGUUGUAUGAUGACCAAUGGGAACCAAGGGCUCAUUACUUUUGAUCAGACACUUUCCACAGUCUGUCCUUUUAUCUAAAGACAGAUAUGAGACUCUUCUCAUAGCUCCCUUGGAAAUGCUCUUCUUCACUCCUUUUACCUGAAGGGGAUCAAGUCUUCCAUGUCCCAGCUUCCCUUCCUGAUCUCCCUUGGCCAAAGGACACUUGGGAAGGUUGAUAGAGUCUUUAGAUUUCCAUAGAUAGCAAUUAUCUUUGGAUCUAUCUCCUCUCAUCACUUCUUGAUUGCACCCAUUCAACACCACACAUCCUCCCUUGGUAAAUUCCACCUUGUAUCCUUGGUCACACAGCUGGCUUAUGCUUAUGAGGUUCACAGUUAGUCCUUUUACUAACAAUACAUCACUCAAUUUUGGAGCUUCUGGACAGUCCAGCUUCCCAACACCCAUGACUUCUCUUUUAGUUCCAUCACUUAAUGUCACAGACUUGGUGUUAGAGGGAUGUAGAUUCACCACUAGGUAGUUCAUCCCAGUCAUAUGCCUUGAGCAGCCACUAUCAAGGUACCAAUCUUGUCUGAUAUGUCCCCUUGAAGAAGUGUGAGCAAGGUUAGCAACACACUGUUGAUUCUCAGGCGAGAAGUGAAUCUUAGAUGCCAGCUGCUUAGGAUUGACCUGAGGUGUCUGCUUAGCCGCCCAUGUUUGUUUCUUAAUGGGGACAUUAUGCGUAGACACCUUUUUCUUAGGCCUACCUUGAGGGGUCUGGUUUGGGUAACCAUGCAGCCUAUAGCAGAAUGGUUUUAUGUGACCGAAUCUACCACAGUAAUGACAUUUCCAUCUCUUGAAUUUCUUCUUCUGAUGAUUGUUCAUUCUGGUUCCUCGAUGUUGUGACUUUGGAUGAGACUUCCCUUUGGAUUUCUGAACUUUAGCCUUUGGGCGUUUGCGUUCAGUUGAGGAUCUUUUCCCAAAGCCUAAACCAGAUGUGUUUCCAGACUUCUGUCCUGUCUUCAGGAUUUCUUCCAAGGUGUCAGAUCCCUUAUUCAACAUCUUGAUGGAUUUGGUCAUUUGGUCUAGCUUAGAGAUCAGCAACGAAAUCUCACCCUUCAGACCCUCUAUGACUUUCAGCUGCUCUAGUUUCUCAGCUUCUAGUUCUUUGAUGAGUUUCUUAUGCUUUUCUCCUUGGAUGCAAACUUCUGCACUUUUAACACAUAAUUCUUUAUAUGAGGCAGCAAGCUCAUCCAAUGUGAGUUCAUCUCCACUUGAGUUAUCCUCUGAGGCACAAACACUGGUUAGAGCAGUGACUUGUUUGGCCGAUUCUCCUUCAGAUUCACUCUCAGUGUCUUCUUCUGACCAGGUGACAGAUAGCCCUUUCCUUUGCCUCAUGAGAAGGGUAGGGCAGUCAGCCUUACUAUGACCAUAUCCUUCACAUCCAUGGCACUGGAUUCCCUUGCCUUGGUUGGCCUUUUCUUCAUGAGUUGAUCUUUUCUUUAUGUCAGACGGGACGUUCUUGACAUUAGAUCUACCCUGUUGAUCAAAUUUCUUUAUGAGCUUGUUGAACUGUCUCCCAAGCAUGGCUAAGGCUUCUGAUAUACUUUCAUCACCUCCAGUAUAUCCUUCUUCUGACUCCUCUUCAGCAUUAGAUAUAAAGGCUAUGCUUUUCUUCUUCUCAGCAUACUCACCUAAGCCCAUUUCAAAGGUUUGGAGAGAACCAAUGAGCUCAUCUACCUUCAUAUUGCUGAUGUCCUGAGCCUCCUCUAUGGCUGUGACCUUCAUAGCAAACCUCUUAGGCAAGGACCUGAGAAUCUUUCUUACAAGUUUCUCUUCAGUCAUUUUCUCACCUAGUCCACCAGAGGUGUUUGCAAUUUCAAGAAUAUUCAUGUGAAAGUCAUGAAUAGUCUCAUCCUCUUUCAUCCUCAGAUUUUCAAACUUGGUUGUCAACAUCUGAAGUUUGGACAUCUUCACCUUGGAAGUACCUUCAUGAGUUACCUUGAGGGUAUCCCAAACUUCCUUAGCUAGUUCACAAUGGUGCACCAGCCUGAAGAUGUUCUUAGUGAUUCCAUUGAACAGUGCAUUCAAGGCUUUGGAGUUUCCAAGAGCUAAUGCCUCUUGUUCCUUGUCCCAAUCUUCUUCAGGAAUCUGCACACUGACUCCAUCUUCAUCAGUCCUCGUUGGAUGUUCCCAUCCCUUGUUGACAGCUCUCCAGACUUUGCUGUCUAGAGACCUUAAGAAGGCUAUCAUACGAGGCUUCCAGUCAUCAUAAUUAGAUCCAUCCAACAUGGGUGGUCUGUUUGAGUGUCCUAAAUCCUUGUCCAUGGUACUAGAAAGUAACUUCCCUAGAUCUCACCCAGAACUUCACAGGCAGGGUGCCUGCUCUGAUACCAAUUGAAAUUCUAGUUAUCAGACUUUGGAUGUCACACUGGUUGUUAUGACAUCCAAUUCUGCACAGACAGGGAUUAUGCAGAACUUAACAGUAAGUGCAGUAAAUAACACAAGUAAUUGUUCACCCAGUUCAGUCCAACAUGACCUACAUCUGGGGGCUACCAAGCCAGGGAGGAAAUCCACUAUUAGUAGUAUCAAUUCAAAGCUAAACUCACCCGUUUACAACUUAUCACUUAAUCCCUACCCAAUGCAAUUUCAAUCUUACCCUAAGAUCAGAGUUCCUACUCACUCCCCCUCAAUCACCUCAGUGAUAUUAAAGACACUUUGAAGUCACACUUCAAAAACAACUCUUGAUUAUGCUUCACAGCUUAAAUCAAGAUACACAGCACUCACGCUUAAAAGCUUUGAGUGACACAACACUUACAACUCAAUGAACACCCUAUGCCAAAGCAAUCAUCUACUUGAUAAUGGCUUGGCUUACAAGAUACGUCUAAUACUAGACUCACAAAAUACAGCAGUGAAGUAUGAUGGACACACUAAAUCUUCACGCCUCAAAAUCCCCGAAACUGAAUGAAGGAAUGCCUUCCUUUUUAUAUUGCAGCACCUGGGCUUUUGCACCUGUAUUUUCCUGAAUUUUAGGUCACACAAGUUCCCACAAAUUCAACAUUUAGGUUACUAACAAAUAGGCUAUUUGUUAGGUUCAUUGAAUGUAGCUUGGUUGUUGAUUUCCUGGAUUUUCUCUCAGCUGUUGAAUCCCUGAAGAAUAGCCUGAGAAAAAGCUGAAACAGAAAACUGAACAACCUACAAUAUAGCAUAUGCUGUCAGGAAUGAAUGUCACGACAUUCAGCUUGACAUCAAGGUCCAUAUGCUGAGUCUGUUUUUCCAGAAAACAGACUGUACAAUUUUGCUGACCUGUACAUGAUCAAAAUGACCAUACUACAGUAACAGCUUACAUUAAUAAAUGUUAAAGUGUCCAACUUAACAUUUACACAUUUGGCCUUAAGUUAGUUCUGUUAUUCUCUUGAAGAACAAACUAAGUUACAUGCUGAAGUAUAGCAGAACACCACUCUGUCUAAUGUUCAGUAGCUGCUGUCAGUGAUGAAUGUCAUAACAUCCAAUUUGACAUUCAGUCAGUAGGCCUUAUGCUAGGUCUGGUCUUUCCUUGAUAACCAGACUGGAAAUAAAUACUAAGUUCUAACAGAACACCAGCUGUUCUAUUUCUUAGUAUCUGUUGACAGGUAUGAAUGUCACAGCAUCCAGUUUGACAUUCAAUAAAUCCUGUGUUAGCUAAUCCUGCAGUAACUACUCAAGUGUGUCAUGACAUCAGUCAAGACAUCAGAGUACAGUUAGAUAUUCUAACCUACAAUGUAGUCACAUAUACAAACUAUGUCAUGACAUCAGUCAAGACAUUUGUAACCAGCUAGUGUUUUACCAUAUAAUGCAGCCAAUUAAACACCUACAACUAUCGAUAUACUCUUCGAAAUUUUGACACCUAGAUGAUUCGACACUUCCUUUCUUCUGUCGAGCAACCUGCUCCGACACAAGGAAUUACAAUUCAAUACACCACCUAAUUCAUUGUGUCUAAGCUAUCUACAUUCAUCAUAUACCUUAACUUCUUAAACACUUCGACCUGCACUCCCUUCGUCGUGAUGUCUGCAAUCUGAUUCUCAGUUCUGCAACAUUCCAAGUUCAGGUCCGCUUUUGCUACCUGCUCUUGAAGAUAAUUGAACCUCACUUCGAUGUGCUUACUUCGUCCACACGCUAUCGGAUUCUUCGCCAGAUUAUAGCAGACAUAUUGUCAAUCUUCAUGGUAAUUGCUUCAUGAUUCUUCCCUGUAAUCUCUUCGACCAGAUUCACCAUCCACGUUGCUUAACAUGCACAAGAAGAAGCAUAUAUGUACUCUGGUUCACAUGAAGAAAAUGCUAUUACUGGUUCCUUUCUCGAAAUCCAAGCAACUAGUGCACCCCAUAACAUAAACACAUAGCCAACCGUGGAUUUUCUAUCCUCAGCAUCACUACACCAACUUGAAUCGGUGUAACCAAUUAACUUGCAUUCUUUUCCUUCAUCAGUUGCAUGAAACAAAACUCCAUUGUCGAGAGUUGCUUUCCUUAGUAUCCCAUUUGUCGCUGCUAGGUGUGAUACCUCUGGCUUCUACAUGAAUCUACUCACCAUACCUACACUAUAUGCUAGAUCAAGCCUUGUGUGACAAAGAUAUCGAAGUGAUCCAAUGAGUCUUUUGUACUGCGUUGGAUCGAUAUCAUAUUCAUAUGUGUCUUUCGACCGUUGUAAUCUGGGCUCAGCUGGAGUCGAAGUUGGGUUGCAAUCUUGCAUCUCAAAUCUUUUGAGUAUUUCACAUUCAUAUCUUCUUUGGUGCAUCAUCAAGCCUCUUCCACUCUUUUAGAAUUUGAUGCCAAGGAAAUAUGAGAGAUUUCCCAAGUAUGACAUUUCAAACUCCUCACUUAGGUCAUGUUUGAAAUCUUCGAUCUUCUUCUUGCAACUUUCUAUUAUCAACAAGUCAUCGACAUAGAGAUAUAGUAUAAACAAUUCACUAUUUCUUCUUCUUACAUAUACUCCAUACUCAAUUGCGCACUUCACAAAUUCUUUCUCCCUUAGAAAACUAUAUAUCUUCUUGUUCCAAGCUCUUGGAGCUUGCUUAAGUCCAUAUAGGGAUUUAUGCAACCCGUAUACCUUUCUUUCUCCGCCUUGUUUCACACACCAAGCUGGUUGUGCAACAUAUACUUCUUCAUCUAAGGGGCCAUUAAGGAACUCACAUUUCACAUCCAUCUGACAUGUGUGUCAGUUGUUCAUAUUUGUUAAACAAUAACCAACCUGAUUGUUUCGAUCCUAGCAACAGGUGCAAAAACUUUUUCUAAGUCGAUCCCUUCCUUCUGAAGAAAUCCUUUCGCUACAAGUCUUCCCUUGUUUCGAGAUACUUCACCUUUGGGAUUGAAAUUCACCUUGUAUACCCACUUCACAUUGAUUUCCUUCUUUCCUUGAGGCAAUUCGAUAAGUAACCAGGUGUUGUUCUCUUCGAUGAACUUCAGUUCCUCAUUCAUUACUUUCACCCACUUUGAAUCCUUCAAUGCCUCAACUAUAUUGACUGGUUCCACAUAUGCAUAGAAAUCAUAGUGUACUAGCCCACCUUCAUCAUCGGCCAUAUCAUCUUAUGUAAUUACACAUUCUUGCAACCUUGCAGGCAUGUGUCUUAUUUUGUGAGGUCUGCUUGUGUUUGCUUGACCUCUGACUUCUUCUUGUCGAACUUCUCUUUUGUCUUCACUUGCUGGUUCUUCACAUAAGAUUCUCACUAGAUCCUUCUUUACAUUUUCAGUCCAAUCCAAUUCCUUAAGCUCAUAUAUUAUCAUGUCCCUGUUGAUCACUAUUUGCUUAUUCACUGGGUUGAACAACUUGUAACCUCCAGUCGAAUGAUAUCCUAUUAGGAUCAUCUGACUCGACUUAUCAUCAAGUUUUCUUCUCAACUGAUAUGGUAUAUGUCUGUGUGAUAUAGAUCCAAAUACCUUCAGAUGACUUAAUCUAGGCUUGACAACAUACCAACAUUUUUCUGGCGUAAUUCCUUCUAGCUUCUUCGUCGGACAUCUCUUCAAAAUAUAUGUUGAUAUCGACACAACUUCUCCCCAUAAUUCUUUGAGUAGAUGCUUGUCUUUCAACAUACUUCUCAUUAUGUUCAUGAUGGUCCUAUUCUUCCUUUCUACCGUUCCAUUCUGCACAAUCCCUUCUUUCUCACAUAACUUGUCGAAGUCUUUCGACACAUACUCUCCACCACCAUCGGUCCUCAGAAUCUUGAGUUUUCGACCACUUUGUCUUUCGACCAUAGAUUUAAACUUGGCAAAUACCUCAAUCACUUCACUUUUCUUCUUGAUUAGGUAAGUACACAGUUUUCUACUGAAAUCAUCUAUGAAUGUGACAAAGUAUAUGUUGUCGCUACGCGAAAAAUACAAAGAGUUUCCAUCGAACUUUAUUUAUUCCAUAGGAAAGGGAAAAUAUCGAUAAAACCCCUGGAAGGUGAAGAAAAUUGUCUCGCAACCAAAUUCGGGUUCGAAAGUCGGUUAUGCAAUGGGAAGGUAGAAGUACCCCUCACAUAUGUCGUGCUCGAUGGGAACCAUCUUGGUUGUCUAUGCACGAAUGGAUGUCGUUGUCUAAAGGUUACUUGCUAAAAGGGAAAAGGGAUGGUUUUUUUAUUGGUGUGCUCACCAAGGAUUGGGGCCUUCUUGCCUACGUAUCCUCAUCAUGAAAUGAAGAAUUAGAGCUCCAUAGUUCAGAGUAGAAAAUGAGUGUUUGUUGGUUGAUUUUAUACCUUAAAAAGGAUUUUGGGAAUGAUCCCCUAAGGCGCAAAAAAGAGUUUGAUAAGUUUAUGUUGUUUUUAGGGUUUUGAAAAGAAAAUUGUUUUUGAUUUGAAUCGCACUAAAGACUAUGAGUGGAGACGAAUACCUCAAACAACCAAGCCAAGCGCCUUGUGUUCAAAAUAUUCAGAAUGAGGGUAGGAAAGCUCCAUUCUUACUCCUUCUUCAUUACUUAAGGCUUGUGGCGCGUAAUUCUAAUCGUAUUUUAAAGUGUUUUUUAGUUUAUUUAAGAAAGUGUCACUUGACAUUGGAUUAAGGGUUUAUUAUUGCUUUGAAAUGGUGAGGUUGAUCCUAGUUCCUAAGGGUUACUAACAAGCAAUGCCAAAAGAAAGCAAGGAGGAAAAAGUACACCAAAAUGGGGGAGGGAUACUUGAAAAACUACAAGGGAUAUUGAUGCAAGAAAUAAAAGGUCUCGUUGUAAGGUAUCCCAAGAGAAAGCCAUGUGUGUGCAAAAUGUUCUAAGCUAAACAAUGGAUAAUGGAAUCAAGAUUACAUGUCUCCUUUUUCCUUAGGGUAGUGCCAUGAAUGCCACUCUUGCAAUUAAAGAUUACAAGUCCAUGAUGAAACUCCAAGUCAAGCAUAGGUCAAUCACAAUGUCUAAUGGUCCAUUACAAGUCCUCAAUGUCUCAAUAUUAAAUAUCAAGCAUCACAUAUUUUUGGUCUUUUGCAUUUUAUCAUGUUUUUUGUUCUUUUUAUUUUGAUUAUACAACAAGAAAUAAAAAUACAAAAUAGAGAAGAUAAAAUGAUUGCACCAGUUUCCAGGUUAGAGUCUAUUUGUCUCUUAAUUUCUUUUGUUGUUAAUCAUAACAUCAUUUUGUAUCAGAUGGAUGUUAAGAGUGCAUUUCUGAAUAGUUACAUAACUGAAGAAGUGGAUGUAUACGAACCUCCUGGUUUUGAAAAUCAUAAGAACCCAUAUUUUGUUUUCAGACUUAACAAAUUUUUGUAUGGUCUGAAACAAGCUCCCAGAGCAUGGUAUGAAAGACUAAGCAAUUUUCUUUUAGAAAAAUAUUUUACUAUAGGGAAGGUUGAUACAACUUUGUUUUGUAAAUCCUUCAAAAAUGAUAUUCUUGUUGUUCAAAUUUAUGUGGAUGAUAUCAUAUUUGGUUCUUCUAAUGAUACUUUGUUCAAGGAAUUUGCUAAGUCUAUGCAAGAAGAAUUAUAAAUAAGGCUGAUAUGAGAACUCAAGUUCUUUCAGGGAAUCCAUAUUAAUCAAAGUCCAUAAGGGACAUAUAUCCAUCCGAAGUAUACUAAAGAACUUCUGAAGAAGUUCGACAUGUCAGAAUGCAUGAUAGGAAAGAAUCCUAUGCAUCCUACAUGUAUCCUUGAGAAGGAUAAGGUAAGCGCAAAGAUAGAGAAAAAGGUAUACAAAGGUAUGAUUGGUUCUCUCUUAUACUUAACUACUUAUAGACCUUACAUUGUAUUUAGUGUUUGUUUGUGUGCUCGUUUUUAAUCAGAUCCUAGAGAAUCCCACUUAAUAGCUAUUAAGAGGAUUUGCAGUUAUCUGAAAGGUACUAUUAAACUUGGCUUGUGUUAUAGAAAAUAAAGAGUACAAGCUAGUGGGUUAUUAUGAUGUUGAUUACGCUGGAGAUAAACUUGAAAGAAAAAGCACUUCUGGAAGUUGUUAGUUUAUGGGAAACAAUUUCAUCUCAUGGUCCAGCAAGAGAUAAUCAACCAUAACACUAUCAAUUGCUGAAGCUAGAUACAUUACGACUUCUAGAUACAUCACUCAUAUGCUCUAGAUGAAAAGUCAGCUAGAAUAUUUCCAGAUAUAUGAGAGUAAUAUUCUUAUUCUCUGUGAUAAUACUUCUGGUAUUUGUUUAUCUGAGAAUCUCAUUUUACAUUCUAUAGCUAAACAUAUUAAGAUUAAACAUCAUUUUAUACGUGACUAUGAUUAGAAGGUAAUUUUUUAAACUUAAAAUUUAUUGAUACAUACAAUCAAUGGGAUGAUAUCUUUACAAAACCCCUUGCUGAAGAUAGGUUUGUUUUCAUUCUGAAGAAUUUAAAAAUCGAUAUAUGUCCAUAAUGAAAAAAAAAAUCAUCUCAGAAUGUUUAAGUUCUCAGAAUGGUUCAUUGAGACUCUGAGAUCUAUUGACUCUAAAUAAUUGAGUCUUCUGAAGUGAGAAGGUUUCAUGAGUUCAAAAGUAUCCAGUCAUAACCUCUUUGAUUAAACAUUCUAUCUUCUGAAUACUUAAUAGUUAUUGCAUUAAUUGGUUGUCAAUCCGUCUUGGUUAGUGGAUCAGUUUUAAAGAUAGUUAUCAUAGAAAACUGAAACGCUUCUAAACAGCUGAGUGACACAUUGGGUGAAGAGAUUUCUUGGGAUUAGGUAAAAUCUCUCUAUGCAUUCCCCUUUGUCUGAAUUCCUCACCGUUCAAGAUUUUGUCAUGAUUGCAAAACCUUUAUAAAACCCAAUUCACUUACAUUUCACGCACUUACGCUACAUUUCUCCUACGCUUUCUCUCUUUCAACCAAAAAUUUCUCUACAACCCUAAACCUUGUUCUUCAUCAUCAUGGUUGAAUCUCUCCAACAAGUUCAAUAAUCUACACAAGCUUCUCAAGAACAACAACAACCUCAACAACAAUAUCAUAUGAAAGAAAGAAUUUAGGAGCUUACUCUUUCUACUCCAGUCACGCAGUUAGAAGUUCUUUGUGAGCUUCUUGUUGAUUUUGAAAAUCUCAAGGUUAGUGGUUUUGAUUUGACUGAAGGAGUUAAGACUCGUAGAUGGAAAGGUUACGUUGAAAGUCUCAAAGGACCCAUGUAUACUAAUUUAGUGUAGAAAUUAUGGAUUUUUGCUACUACCACGAAUCUUCAUAUCACUUUGUUCGUGUUAGGGCACAAAAUCUCUAUUUCUCAGAAGUCAAUAGCUAAACUUAUCAGCCACGGUGGCUCUAGGAAGACAUGCUUUGAGAUGCCUGCUGAGAAGGAAAGAAUGGAUGAAAUUGCUACAACUAUUUUCCAGGAUGGGAAGAACUUCUCCAAUGCCAAGAAUCUUCAUAAACAUGUUAUGGUUUGGUUAAAGUUUAUUCUAGGGUGCAUUCAUCAUAGACCCUUAACAAAUUCUUCUGACUACAUCAAUACAUAUCAGAAGUACAUGUUGUAUUAUCUAUCAUCUAGGAGAAAGAUGAUUUUUCCAUCCAUAAUCUUCAAGUAUCUGAGGGAACCGGUCAAAGAAAUAAGAAAUGGUUCACUAAAGCCCAAAAAGUGGAUACCUCUGGGAAGAUUAAUCUCUGAUAUUUUGUUUGAAAGCAAGUUGAUUCAGACGUUGAUGGAAGUUGGUUUAUCAAAGGAAGUGGAAUUUGAUGUUGGUAAGACCUUCAAUGGAAGGAACUUAAAUAACAUGUCCUUGGUCACAAGAGUGUCAUACCCCAAAAUUUACCCUAGCCUAUACAAUCUUCAUAUGAUCCAUGAUCCUACUACACAUGCAUGCAUUCAAUGUUUCAUCAUCAUAAUCUCAUUAAACAUUCAUAAUCAAAGACAUAUUACACGUACUCGAGGCAUAAUGUUCACACCUGAGAAGAAACUGGGGUUUUCCGAUUAAAGUUGCAAAGAAAAUGUGUAACAAAGCAAAACAUUCAUUUUUUGGUCUAUGUAACCGAUUACCCAAUUCUUGGUAACCAAUUACACUCCUUUUAAAACAGGUAUCCAGACCAUUUUUGUCCUGUGUAACCGGUUACCCAAAUCCUGGUAACCAGUUACACCUGCGUAACGAAGGCUCCCCAGGCCAUUUUUAGCCUGUGUAACCGGUUAUCCAGAUCCUAGUAACCAGUUACACAACGCAGAACAACAUCAAUAACUUUUUUUUACUCCAAAUGAUCCCUUUUUUCACCCCACCUACCCACUUGUUUUCCCUAUAAACUAUUUUCCCCUCUUUAAGGACAUGCUUGCAGCCCCAAAAGUUCUGAAAAACAUCAAUUAAACCCUCUUCUUAAACCUAAACCAAAACAAAUUAUUCCCUCUCAAAAUCACCCCCACCAACUUUUUCCCUAUUUCAUUUUUUCCUCAAAUCUUCCAUUCUCUAACAUUAACAACUCAACCCUUUCAUUGAGUUUCAACCAUAAACACCUCCACUCCAAACCUUUUGCUUCAUAUUCAAGCUCAACACCACAACAAUUUAGUUUUUUUCCACAUUUUGGUAAUGAUUGUAGCUCAAACUCUUUAGCAUUUUGGUUCUAUUUUUGUGUUGGAAAUGGUUUGGUGUUCUUGGGUUGUUUUUUCAGAGAAUUUAGAGUCAAGUUUAAGACAAAUGAUCAAGUUUGGUUUAUACACUUUUUCUUGAAAUUUUUGUUCUUACUACUUUUUAUUCACUAUUUUCAAUCAAACUAUGUUAUUAUUAUCAUUUCCUAUUUAUUGUUUAUCCAUUGUUAUAUUUUUGUUGGUUGAUGAAAUCUAUUAGAUCAUGACGAUAGUUGUUUAUGAUUGGUAAAACCUUCAAUGUUUCAAACCUAUUAAUGAAUGGUCAAUGGAUCAUUCAUGAUACUUUGAGGCAUUGAUAAGUUGUCUCUAUUUCAACCAUACUUGAGUCAUUUGAUGUAUAGAUGAAACCAUAUUUGUGUAUACUAACUUUCUAAUCCAUUUACUUAUUGUGAUUCCGUUAACCACUAACUUUUAACAUUUAUAUUAUUGCAUUUUAUUUCUUUGCUAUUUAUUUGCUCAUAAUUUAUUUUAUUGUUCAUUUUAUUUUAAGUACUUUAUGUUUAUGUCUAUUACUAUUUAUUCAUAUACAAUUUAUAUUGUGCCAAUUUAUUUGUUUUCUUACCACCUUGUAUAAUCAAAAGAAAAAGUAAAAAAAAAACUUAUAAUCAUUUGAGUGAUAUAAUCUUCUAUUUGUCAAACUAUUGAUAGAUGAACUUGGGCAGUGGCGGAAUUGAGGGGGGACGUGGGAAGGCCACGGCCACCCCUCAACUUUUUAUUUUUUUUAAUUCAUAUAUAUUAAAUUAAUAAAACAUCCUUAUUUUAAAUUAAAAUUAAUUUUUAUUUUUUUCUUUUUCAUUCAAAGUUAGGUUAAAAUACAGAUAAGGUAAAAAGUUCCUACCUUUCCUUUCUUUCUCAUAUGGGUUUGCUACCGGCACCGGAAUCGGAACAGAUUAAAGUGAUCGGCAUCUAACAGGUAAAAAACUUUAUUAAUUCUUCUUUUAUAAAAAGUAACAAAUUAAAGUGAUUGCUUGAUUUGUGUUUUUGAUAUUUUUAGGGUUCUUCUUUCUUGAUGUGUUAAAAUAAUCUAUAUGAGGUUUAUUAAGCCAAUUCAUAACACUGUAAUUUACAAAUAUAGUUAUACACUGUAAUAAGGUUUAUUUAAUCAUUAUUGCUGCUAAUUUCUAAUAAUGAAGUUACCGGUAUUUGAAAACGGAUUAAAGUUGAUUAAUUAAGUUUAUUAAUUUUUUUCUCUUUUAAUUUUUAUGUUCUCUAAAUUGAUUUUUGGAUCUGAUAUGAAUGAGGUUUAUUAAGCCAAUUCAUAACACUGUAAUUUACAAAUAUAGUUAUACACUGUAAUAAGGUUUAUUUAAUCAUUGUUGCUGCUAAUUUCUAAUAGUGAAGUUACCGGUAUUUGAAAAUGGAUAAAAGUUGAUUAAUUAAGUUUAUUAAUUUUUUUCUCUUUUAAUUUUUAUGUUCUCUAAAUUGAUUUUUGGAUCUGAUAUGAUAUUAUAGGAAGAGUAAAGAUGAAUAAUAGGAAAAUUGAUUCUUUUUUUAAAAGGAAAGCAUGUCAAAUUGAAAGAGAAGAGAGAGAUGAAGAAAUUAUAAUCCCGACAUCCGAAUCUGAAACAGUUCUUGAGAAUCCAACAAUUGAAGAGCAUCAUGGUUUUGAAAAUUCUUUGGAAUGCGAUCUUGGAAAGCGUCCUCCGAUUUGGCAAUAUCCGCCAAAUCAAGUGGAUGCAAUACGAAGAGCUUAUCUAAAAUGGGGUCCAUAUCAAAUUCAUUUAGAAAACUAUCCUUUGUCCGGUAACAAGGAUUAUCCGAGAAGGUUUCAACAUACUUGGUUUAGCAUAUUUUCAUCAUGGUUAGAAUAUUCACCAUCUGAAGAUGCCGCAUAUUGCUUACCAUGUUACCUUUUUAGCAAAAAACUAAGUGGACGUGAUCACUUGUCUUUAUUUCUAUGGGUUUGAAGAUUGAAGAAAGUUAGGAAUGGAACAUUGUUCAUUUCUUGAAACACAUAGCUUGCUCACCAUACAACAAUGCAAUGAAAGCUUGUCAAGACUUGUUGAAUCAAGAUGGUCAUAUUAGAAAUGUUAUUCAAGUGCAAAGUUCAAGUCAAAGAAUGAAUAAUCGGUUACGACUAAAGACUUCAAUUGACACUGUUCGUUGGUUAACACUACAAGCUUGUGCUUUUAGGGGUCACGACGAAAGUAGCAAAUCAGAAAUCAAGGUAACUUUCUUGAGUUAUUGAAACUUUUAGCAUCCUACAAUGAUGAAGUUGCAAAAGUUAUGUUAGAAAAUGCUCCACAAAAUUGUAAGUAUACUUCACAUCAAAUUCAAAAAGAGCUCUUGCAAAUUCUUUCUAGUAGGGUGAAAAAGAGUAUUCGUGAGGAAGUUGGUGAUUCCAAAUUUUGUAUCAUCGUUGAUGAAGCUUGUGAUGAGUCAAAAAAGGAAUAAAUGGCUCUUGUAUUAAGAUUUGUUGAUAAAGUUGGUUUAAUACAAGAGAGAUUUUUUGAUGUGGCAUAUGUUAAAGACACCACAUCUUUAACUCUUAAGGAAGCAAUAUUGAAUAUAUUUUCGACGAACCUUGAAUGUUUCUACAUUCGUGGCAAGGGUAUGAUGGUGCUAGCAAUCACGAGAGGAGAAUGGAAUGGUUUACAAGCCCUCUUUAUGAAGGAUUGUUCCUUAUGCAUACUAUGUUCAUUGUUUGCUCAUCAAUUGCAACUUGCAUAGUUACAUCAUCAAGAGAAGUCAAACCUGUUCAUAAAUUUUUUGAGAAGCUGAUUUUGUUGUGAAUGUUGUUUGUUCUUUCUACAAAGCGUCAUGAUGAGUUACAAGCUGCUCAAUUAGAAGAAAUUGCUUAUUUGUUAGAAAUUGCUUUUUGUGAAAAGCAUGGUAUUGAGAUUCCUGAUCUUAAUGAUGUUCAUUCAACAACAAGAUUUGACGCUCCCGUCUUGAAGAGAUCAAGUCACAAUUCAACAUUACUUUAAAGUUGAAAUCUUUUUCACUACCAUUGACAAACUGUUACAAGAGUUGAAUAGCAGAUUCAGUGAGGCAGGCAAUGGAUUUGUUAACUCUUUCUUGUUCUUUAUCUCCUAAGGAUGGAUAUAAAGCUUUUAGCACUGAUACUAUUGUUCUUAGUUGAAAAAAUAUUAUCAUAUGGAUUUUAAGUGAUCAAGAGAAGAAUAAUUUGCAAUUUCAACUCCAACAUUUCUAUUUGGUUGCUCGUCAAGCAUCAAACUUGAAUAAUUUAUCAACUAUUCAAGAACUAUGUUCAUGUUUGGUUGCAUCUGGACAAGCUGAAACUUACUUCUUGAUUGAUAGACUACUUCGUCUUAUCAUGAUUCUUCCCGUUUCUACGGUCACAACUGAGAGGUCUUUUUCAGCAAUGAAAAUUAUUAAGAGUAAGUUGAGAAACAAGAUGGAUGAUGGGUUUCUUGGAGAUAGCAUGACAUUAUAUAUUGAAUGGGAGAUUAGUGCAAGCAUUAGUUCAGAGUCAAUUAUUGACGAUUUCAAGUCACUCGAAACGCAUAAAGCAUUACUUUAAGGUAGUUUUAAGUCACGUAAUUUAAAUUUUUAGUAAUUAACUUUGUAUUUAUUUUAACUUUAAUGUUUUAUUUAAAAUACUAUUUACAUUUUAUUUAUAAUCUUAAUUUUACGUUAGGGGUCAUCCCAAAUUUUUUUAUCUGGCUCCGCCACUUAACUUGGGGUUGUAUAACUUUCAUUGUUACAAAUCUAUUGUUAGAUGAUUAUUAAUCAUCUUUAAUACUUUGCAUCAAUGAUAAAUUAUCCCUUGAUGCGCCAUAUUUUGAGUAUUUUGACAUAUGGAUAGAUAUUCCUCAAACGUUUAUUUUUGCACAUAUUACUAACCACUAAUUAUACUUCACUAACUUUGUUUACUAUUAACCUUUGUUAUUGUGAUUUCGUUACCAUUGACUUGAGGUUUAUUUUAUGUCAUUUAUACUGACUAACCAUUGUUAUUAUGAUAUUAUUAUCAUUAUUAUCUUGUGAUUUACUUUUAUGUCAUUACCUUGUAAUUUACAUUCAAGUACUCAUUAUCACCAUCAUUAUCAUUGUAUAAACUCAUCAUGCAUGUUUAUUUAUUAUUAUUUACUUUAUUAUCCUCAUACAUUAAAAAUUACUUAAAACAUGAUAAAAUGAUAAAGACAAAAAAAAAUCAUUCCACUUAAUCAACUUGGACUUAGAGGAUCUCAACCUAGGACAUUUGCUUGGAGGUCUUUUCCAUUAACCUUGUGAUACUUUAUUGACUUUGAAUUUUCAUAUGUAACUUCGAUACUGUCGCAUCUCGAAAAAUACGAUUCCUCGCGAUGGUCGCGGAAAAAAUUAUAUUCGAACAGAGUCGCCACCGAACUUUAUUUAUCCCACUGAAGGAAUAGGAGAAUGUCGAUAAAACCUUUAGGAAAUGGAAUAAUGGUCGUCGCAACCAUAUUCGGGUUCGGGAGUGGACUAUGUAAGGGGAAGGUAUUAGCACCCCUUACGUCCGUUGUACUCAACGGGAACCUUUUAGUUCUAAUUUGCGUUUCGAGUGUUAAUUUAUGUUUGUUUGUUAUCUUCGAGUUAUAAAUAUAUUGAAAAUAGAAAUGGAUGAGAACCUCAUAAAGGGGAAGGGGAGGUUUUUUAUUAGUGUGCUCGCGAAGAUACAUCAAUCUCCUACCUACGUAUCCUUAAAUAAGGAAGUCAAAGCAUUCGUAGUUCGAGGAACUACGGUUGGUUGGUGUCUUUUAGUGAACAACUGUUUUAAAUCGCGUUCUAAAGGCUAAACGCUAGCUUGUCUACUCUCGGCGGAGGCUUAAGCAUUGGUUUGUGGUGCGCAUUAUAAAGGAUUAAACAAUGUUCUUUCUGAAAAGAGUUUUGAUCACACGAGAGUGACAAGUUGGAUUAAUAUGUUGGAUGUUUUGAUUGGUUUCGAUCGCACAAGGACGAGAAAAGAUAGAUGUGUUGAGAUUUUUGGUUGGAUGACGAUUACUCGGAUAAUCGAGUAAGACAACUCGUAUCCUAAUAGUCGGGAAAGGGAAUAGAAGACUCUAUAUCGCUUUCUGUUUCACCUGAAUAAUUGUGAAAAGGAUUGGAUAAUAAUUAAGGUAUUUUAAAUGGAUGACGAUUACUCGGAUAAUCGAGUAAGACAACUUGUAUCCUAAUAAUCGGGAAAGGGAAUAGAAGACUCUAGACUGCUUUAUUUUUCAUCUGAGUGAUUAUGAAAAUAGGUUUGGGUAUGGUUGAUGUAUUUUUAGAAUAAACGACAGAAACUUGAAUGGCUGAGUAAGAUAACUCAUAUCCAAACAUAUGAGGAGAGGAAUCGAAGGCUCAAGACCAUCUCCCUUUUCGCAUAGUUUUGAUUGAGAAUGAUUUGAUUAAGUUGUAUGUUUGGCGGAAAAUGACAAUUGUUCGACUGACCGAGUAAGAAAACUCGUAUUCGUCCAAUUGAGGAGUGAAGUUGAAAACUCAAAGUCAACUCCUUUUUCAAAAAAUGUUUUGAUUUAAUCGGGGUAUUUCAAUUGAGUUUGAGAGAAAAUACUCGACGUUGGAUCGAGGUUUUAGAUUUGUGUUUUGAAUGAAGUGAAUUUAUUUAGUGUAUUGCUCUUCUAGCGGCGAUAAAAAUCGAAUAGGUGAUCUCAUUUGUAAGACAAGCGCAGUAAGCUAUGUGAGUUGAUGGCGAUGCUUUAAAAAGCAAUCACUUACAAAGGGUGUUAUGAAUUGAUUUGGAAAGGCCGGCACUCAAAAUAAUUGCCGAGGUUUGUCAUUACUAUGUGCAUAUGAGUUGAAUAUGAAAAUGUCUUAAUGAGAUCUUAUGAAUUUUUAGCUAUGCAACUGCGAAUGCAAAAAAACAAAAGAUAAUAAAGAGCUUGCAUUCGUAAGGUAGCCACAGAGAAAGCUUUUGUCGUGAUAAAGUGACUUAUGGCUAAACAAGGAUAUGCUACUUACAACAUUGCGCUAAGGUGGUGCAUAGCAAUUCUACAAUAUGGGCAGUAGUUACGGAUGAAAUCGCAAGUGUACAAAUAUAGCGACAAAGAGUAAAAGCUAAGAAGCUUAGAAACUCAGCAAGGUCCUAGAUGAAAAUCUCUAAGUCUCAAUUGAUUAGAGUGGAGAUGAAUAGUUUUUUGUCUUUAUCAUUUAUCAUGUUUUGUUAAUUUUAAUGUAUGAGACAAUAAAUAGUUAAUAAAAGUAGAAUAACAUGCAUGAUGAGUUUGUACAAUAUAUGAUGUAUAAUGAGUAUUUAAUUAAAUUACAGUAAUGACAUAAAAAGUAAAUCACAAGAUAAAUAAUGGUAAUAUCACCAUAAUAUGGUUAGUGAAUGUAAAAUGAACCAUAAAUAAAUGGCAGGAAAGUAAAGUGCAAAUGUAAAUAUUAGGAGUAGUAGUUAUGUUAGUAAUAAUAAAAUAAAUUGCAGAAUUGAAAGUGGCAAUAAAUAAAGUUAGUAGUUAUAGUUAGCUAGAAUAACAAUAACAAAUGAAUAGCUAAUUAUAUUAGAGAAUUAUGGUUUCAUGGAUGGCACCAAAUGAUGCGCAAAUAGGGUGAAAUAGAGCCAUCUAUCAUGCCUGAGAAAAGAAAAGGUAUAAUGAUGAUGCUAUUGUCAAGCCAUUAUAGUUUGAACAUUGAAGAUUUAAUGGACUCUACACAAACCAUGUCAUGACCAAUUAGAACUCAUCAGACAAUAAAUGUAACAAAAGGUCAUAAUAAAUAUUAAUGCUAACGAAAAAAUGUAAAGAAAUCGGUUUCAUCUAUGUAUCAAGAUGACCAAACAUGGGUGAGAAAUAGAGGCAAACCUAUCAUAUGCCUCUAGAUCAUGGAAGGAUUCUAUUGAAUAAUCAUUAUAGUUGAACAUUGAAUGUUUUUUUAUCCACUCUAAACAACCAUUCCAUGAAUAAGUAGAUCUGCAUCAACCAAAUAGAUGUCGAAUAACAAAUCCACAAUGAAAUAACAAAUGAAACAAAAAUACUAAGUUUUGAUAAAGAUAGUGGGAUAGCACGUAGCGCAGAGCAAUGAAAUCCGCAAAAAAAAGAUGUAGAACCAAAGUUAUCGCAUUUUUACAAGCGUGAGGUCAAAACCUCUCAAAAAUCAACAAGAAUAAACACCAUUUUCACAGCAAAAGAUACCAAAAAGUUAACAAAGUUUAAGCUAAAAUCAUUACCCAAAAAUGUUGAAAAAUGGUAGGUUGAAGUGGUGUUGAGCUUGGAUAUAGAGUAAGGAGUUUGGGAUGAAAGUGUUUAUGGUGGAAGUAUAGUGAAGGAGCUGAGUUAUGAGUGUUAGAGAGUAAGAGGUUUUGAAGAAAAUAUGAAAGUGGACAAAAAAAAGUUGGUAGGGUGACUUUUCUAAGAGAGAAAGAUUUUUUGUUUUGGCUUAGGUUUAGAGAGAUGAGUAAAUGGUACUUGGGCAGAACUUUUGGGGGCUAGAAAGCAUGAAAAAUGAGGGGAAAUAGUACCUCUAUUUAUAGGGAAAGUUGGUGGAAAAAGGGGGUGAUCCAAAAAGCACAUUGUGUAAAAUUCAGACUUAUUACAGCUGCCUGCGCAGGUGUAAUCGGUUACCCUAAUUAGGGUAACCGGUUACCUAGUCAAAAAUGGCCAAAAACUCAAUUUUGGGUCUGUGUAACCGGUUACGCUGAUUAGGGUAACCGGUUACCCCAUUUUUUUUAUUUUUUUUUAGAAAUAAUGAAUGUAUGCAUGUGCAGUAGGAUCAUGGAUCAGAUGAAAGUUGUAUCGGGGUAGGAUAAAAUUGGGGUAUGACAGAUACCGGUUGUACGAAUGGCAUCAUGACACCACCUUAGGGGGACAUGUUUGUAAGACCAUUAUCAUUUGUUAGCUUAGGUCACUUUUUGCACAUACAAGGCUUUCUCUUGGGCUACCUUACAACGAUACCCUCUACUUUCUUGUUUGGUUACUUUGUAUAUCUGUUACAUUACCUAAUUUCAUAGCCAAAUAAACAAAGUCUUGAUUCAAAGUCAAGUGGCAUUUUCUUAAUCAAAUCCAAAAUACAACAAAACUACGAUUAUUAUUGUGCGUCACGAGUCUUAAGUGGUGGAGAAUGAGUAAGAAUUGAGCAUUCCUACCCUUAGUCUAAUUAUUUUGGACGCAAGACGCUUGACUUGCUGUCUAGAAUAUUCACCUCCACCCAUAGACUUUAGUGCAAUAUAAUCACAAACAUUCUUUUCAUAAAAUCCUUAUUCAAGGUAAAAACAAUACAACUCAUCAAACCUCAUUUUUUGCCUUAGGGCACCAUCCCGAAAAUCCUUUUUCCAAAGGUAAAAUCAACCAACACAAGCAUUUUCUACUCCGAACUACGAAGCUCUGAUUUCUCAUCACCCGAUGAGUGAUACAUAGGCACAAGGGCCACAAUCCUUGGUGAGCACAAUAAUAAUAAAAACUCAAAACCCAAUUCUUUUACACUCUUUAGAAAAUAAACAAUAAAAGUGAUAAAUAUCUGCAUAUGUAAACAACUCAAAUGGUUCCUAUGGAGUACCAUGGACAUGAGGGAUGUUAAUACCUUCCCCUUGCAUAACCGACUUCCGAACCCAAAUUUUGGUUACGAGACCGAUAUCUUACCCCUUUUUGCGCUUCCCGGGCGCAUUCUCUUUUCGAGGGUUUUAUCGAUUAUUUCCUCUCACCUCUCCAUUAGAGGCAUAUAAAUAAAAUUUGGUGGCGACUCCCCUAUUUUCUCUUUAAACAUGACGAUGGUCCUAGUUUCAUUAUCGUGAAAUCUUGGUAGUAACGGCUGGAGACUCUGCUUAGGAUAAUUGGUUUUUUCCCUAAGCAAGUCUAGCUUAAUUUGGGUUGUUUUCCUUUUUACGUAUGUGGGGAUUUAUCCUUUUUUUUCCUAUGUAUAUAGUGAUUUUAUUACUAACCUGUACAUAUUAUUUUUGUUUGUUGGUCCAAAACCAUGGCUCUAUGACGAAGAAAAAAAGGUUGCAAUAACGAUGUAAUGAAAAACCUUGUGUGCAAGACUCUCCACCCAAGUCUGAGAGCUUACUUGAGAUAUGAGAGGUUGAGUAGUAUGGGUCCCCGGGGUUCCUUCUCCGUGUAGGAUCGUACGAGAACCUCACUUAGUGGUAGAAUCUCUUAAGGAGAUUGAUGACCGUCGUGCUUUCGGCGUAAGAAUAUUUUCCUUUAUUAGAGUUUGUGACCCUAAGACCCCCUUUUAGAACAUUUAACCAUGGUCGGCCUAGACCAAUGGUAGCGUAGUAUAUUUCCUCAUGGAGCUUUCCUCGCGAGGGUUGAUAUGAAGAUCUCACUUAGAGUAGAUUACCUUUAUGGAGCAGUUGCCUGACAAGUAAAUUGAUAUAAACGGAUGAUAGUCAAGGGAGUCCAUGAUUCUAGGGGUAGUGUCUUACACCCAAUUUCUCAAAAACCCUAGAUCAUACAAAGUGAGAACCCUGGUUUGAAAAGCAGACAUUAUUAAACCUCACACUUCGUCACGAUGGUCCCAGACUUUGAACCCGUGCCUAAAGUUCCGUGGAAAUUAAUAAAAAAACGAGUUUAAAAGUGUAGUGUUGGUUCUAUGUGUUGGCAGCAAUUUUGGUAAAACCUAGAGUGUUCACAAGUUGUCAUAACUGUGUUCUUGACAUAAGAUAACAUGUACCAGCAGGGUGUUUAAAAUGUGAAUGUGCAGGAUUUUACUGAGAUGUCAGACACGAUGUCAUGACAUCUGUAUACAGAACAUUCAGUCUAAAUGUUAUGUAUUGUGUGAUUGCGUUUUUUAUGCUAAUCUCUGUGUGAUUUAUGAGAUGAUUGAAUGUGUCAUUCAAUCAGUAAUUACAACCAGAUUGACUUAUUUUCCAACGAGAUAUCAUCAGCUGUCAUGAGAAGAUAUGAAUGGAAAAUAGUUUUAGGGUUUUAUGAUGUCCAAGCCCAGCCAAACACUUCUAUAUAAAGGACAUGGAAAACCUAGUUUUAUACACAAGAAAUAACGAACGAAAUAUUGAGAGAGAAUAAGGGUUUUAGUCUUGUGUGGUCGUGUGUAUUGUGAGCCAUUCAUUCAUCCAUAGAUGAUUGAAUUGGACUGACUUUUGAGUUGAUGGUCGUGUGUAUUGUGAGCCAUUCAUUCAUCCAUAGAUGAUUGAAUUGGACUGACUUUUGAGUUGUAAUUUGUCCACUCUAAGCUUUGAAGCAUGAGUGUGUAUUUACUUGAUUGAAGCUUUUAAGCAAGAUCAAGUAUGUGUUCUUGAAGAGUGUCUUCUUUUCAUUGUGAUUCUUGUUUUAUAUCACUGCUGUGAUUGAGGGGGAGUGAGUAGGAUCUCAUAUCUAAGAGUUCUUAGGUAGAAGUCACACGGAUAGAGAUUAGGUGAAAAGACUGUAACUUGAGGUUGUUUACUGAGAGUCUUUGAACUAAUUAUGUUUAGUGGAUUCCCUUCCUGGCUUGGUAGCCCCCGGACGUAGGUGAGUUUGCACCGAACUGGGUUAACAAUUGCUUGUGUCACUUGCAUUACUGUUCUUUAUCUUUUAUCCUGUUUAUCUUGUUCAGAUAUUAGUGUCAUGACAUUACCUUCGACAUCUCAUAUCUGAUACCAGAAUUUCAAUUGGUAUCAGAGCAGGCAUCCUGCUCUGGUUCGGGGUGAGAUCUAGGGACGGUACACUCUGGUACUAUGGAUAGAGACGGAGGAUCUGUUCACAGACCACCUAUUCUGGAUGGAUCCAACUAUGACUACUGGAAACCUAGAAUGGUAUCCUUCCUGAAAUCUUUGGAUAAUAAGGCUUGGAGGGCUGUUUUAACAGGCUGGGAACAUCCAGUUAUUACUAAGGAAUGAGAAGCUAUAACUAAGAAGAAGGAUGAGGAACAAUGGACCAAGGAGGAGGAGGAUCUAGCCCUUGGAAACUAUAAAGCAUUGAAUGUUAUAUUCAAUGGGGUUGACAAGAACAUCUUCAGAUUGGUGAACAACUGUGAGGUGGCUAAAAAUGCUUGGAAUAUUAUCAAAACCACUCAUGAAGGCACCUCUAGAGUGAAGAUGUCUAGAUUGCAGCUGCUCACUACCAAGUUUGAAAAUUUAAGGAUGAAAGAAGAUGAAAACAUUCAUGACUUUCACAUGAAUAUCCUUGAAAUUGCUAAUGCCUCAAGAGCCCUGGGUGAGAAGAUAUCAGAUGAAAAACUAGUGAGGAAAAUACUCAGGUCACUUCCUAAGAGAUUUGCCAUGAAAGUGACAGCCAUAGAAGAGUCUCAAGACAUUUGCAAUAUGAGAGUGGAUGAGCUAAUUGGAUCCCUCCAAACAUUUGAGUUGGGAAUGUGUGAUGGAUCUGAAAAGAAAGUCAAAAGCAUAGCCUUCAUGUCAAACACUGAAGAGAAAGAGGAAGAAAGUGGUCAAGAUACUGAUGAAGAUCUGGCAAAUGAUGUAGCAUUGCUGGGAAGACAGUUUAACAAACUUCUGAAAAAGAUGGAUGUAAGGUCUAAGUCUAAUGUCAAGAACAUCUCAUCUGACAUCAGUAGGUCCAAUAAUGCUGGAAGAAGAACAAGAUCUGAUGAAAAGUCCAAAGAAGGAAAAGGAGUUCAGUGCCAUGAAUGUGAUGGGUAUAGACACAUUAGAGCUGAAUGUGGGACCUACCUCAAGAAACAGAAGAAGAGUCUUGCUGCUACUUGGUCUGAUGAAAGUGAAACAGAAGGAGAGUCUGCAAAUCUUGUGACUGCCUUGACUAGAAGAUGGGGUUCUGAUGAAGACUCAAGUGAUGAUGAAGUAACCUUUGAUGAGUUAGCCACUACCUAUAGAAAGUUGUGUCACAGAAGUGAAGAAGUGUGUCAACAAGUGGAAAGUCAGAAGAAAGUGAUAAGACAACUGGAGAAUGAGAAGGCAGAACACUUGGAAACUAUCUCUAAGUUGAAGACUGAAGCAGUGUUCUUGAACUCCAAACUGGAUGAGAUGACAAAGUAUGUCAGAAUGCUGAACAAUGGAUCUGACAACUUAGACAAAAUUCUCCAGGCUGGAAAAAUGGCAGGAGACAAGUCUGGCCUUGGGUUCAAUGAAUCCAAACCUGAGUGUAGUCACACUGGUAGCAAACCAAAGAUGUCACAUCAUAUGUCACAACAUCAUAAGGAAAUACAUCAUAAAGGAAAACACCAAAGAUGGAGAUGUCAUUACUGUGGAAAAUUUGGCCACAUAAAACCAUUCUGCUAUAAGUUGUAUGGCUAUCCUAUCCCUUCUCAUCAUCAACCUAGACCCAAACAUCACAUCCCUGUCAAUAGAAAACAAUGGGUUCCUAGGGCUGGUGUUACUAACCUGAUAGCUCACACUUCCUUCAGAGUUUCAGCCAAAGAAGACUGGUAUUUUGACAGUGGAUGCUCCAGACACAUGACUGGAAACAAAAACCAGCCAAAGAAGACUGGUAUUUUGACAGUGGAUGCUCCAGACACAUGACUGGAAACAAAAACCUGCUAACUGACCUUCAUCCUCAUGCCACCAGCUAUGUAACCUUUGGUGAUGGAGCAAAGGGUGAAACCAAGGGGAUUGGAAAGCUAGACUGCCUUGGAGUCCCUAACCUUGACAAUGUCCUACUUGUUAAAGAACUGACUGCAAACCUAAUAAGCAUCAGUCAACUAUGUGACCAAGGUCUAACUGUAAAUUUCACAAAAACUGAAUGUCUGAUUACUAAUAAAGAAAAUGAAGUGAUCAUGAAAGGAGUCAAGUCUAAGGACAACUGUUAUAUGUGGAGUUCUCAAGAAACUGGUUAUUCAUCAAUGUGUACUCUAGUCAAAGAAGAAGAAGUGAAGAUAUGGCAUCAAAAAUUGGGCCAUCUGCAUCUUAAAGGAAUGAAGAGGAUUAUAUCUGUUGAAGCUGUCAGAGGAAUUCCAAACUUGAACAUUGAUGAAGGAAGAGUUUGUGGAGAAUGUCAAAUUGGAAAACAGGCAAAGAUGUCACAUCAGAAGCUCAGACAUGACACCACUUCCACAGUGCUGGAACUUCUCCACAUGGACUUGAUGGGACCCAUGCAGGUGGAAAGUCUUGGUGGGAAAAAGUAUGCUUAUGUGGUGGUGGAUGACUUCUCCAGAUACACCUGGGUCAAUUUUAUAAGAGAGAAAUCUGAUGUAUUUGAAGUCUUCAAAGAUAUUUGUCUAAGACUUCAAAGAGAAAAAGAAAGUCAAGUUAUUAGAAUCAGAAGUGAUCAUGGGAAAGAAUUUGAGAACAACAAAUUUGCUGGAUUCUGUGCAUCAGAAGGAAUUAGUCAUGAGUUCUCAUCUCCCAUUACUCCUCAGCAAAAGUUGUGUGAGGGAAGAAGAAAGCAAUAAAACUGCUCCAAGAAUCAGCAGAGGCUUAGAUUCAUGCUAAGAAAAAUCUGCCUAACUGACUUGCGGGGAAAGUCUGGAACAAAUGACACACGACUGCUAUGUCACAACAGAGACGUAGAUUGCAGAAAGGGCUCCUACUAACUGUAUAUGAAGGCUGGAAAUGGAGAAGACUACAGCUAGAUUACUGAUUCCAGAUGUGUUCGGUAGUAAAUGUUAUACUCUUGACUCAAUCGUUGGAACAAAGAGGAGAGAUAUGGAUCCCAGAGGAUGAUUGUAAGGAAUUUUGUCGGGCUACUCGAACAAAACAGCAGAGCCAUUUAAGAGUUCUUUCAAGUCGCAGAACAAAAGUAAUGAUGAAUCUAUCAAUGUUUGUGUGUUGAUGAUGCACAUACGACUGAUUGUCACAAGAUGUUGAAGACGAUCCCUAAUGAUCCCGAAGCUGUUCUUGACGAGAAAGUAAUGAGAGUGAACUCACUCAAGCUGAACCUGAAGACAAAAUUGAAGUACGGAUCGAGGAAACAGGGCCUUUAUACAGAAUUCAGUAGGAUCAUUAAAUUUCUCAUUAAUAAGGGACCAAAAAAGACUCACACUAGAUGGAAAGCUGUGGAUCUCACAAUGGCGUAGUUUUGUGCUCCCAAGAUUGGAGCCUAUGAUGUCAAGGGAAGCCUUGAUUGAAUAAUUAUGAUCAUGACCGACGCAGGAAGAGUUAGCAAUCAAAGAGAAAGAUGAAGUAUGGCAUACUGUAUCGAAGACCUGAAGGAUAGUGAAUGUCAUGGACAAAUAAGUUGGUGUUAACAAGAAUAAGAGAUUGAGUGAAAAUAGGGUGGUUAGGUACAUAAAAAUAGGGUAGGGGCAAAUUAGUAGACACAGAGGAGAGCACUCAAGGAUAAUUGGAGGAAAGGAGACGUUUGGCAUGAAACAUUUGCCCCUGGUAACGUCGGCCUUGAGUCAUUAGACUAUGCUUGGAGUGGCAUGUAUUCGAAGUGUAAACUGGGUUCUAGAAGUUGAAUUAGAGGGAUAGCCUUCUUGGAGUUUGACUUCCCUAACAGUAGGAAGUGAGACUUGGAAAACAGCCUAAUAGGGAUGUUAGAGAUCAAAAAUCAUCUAUAAAUACUCAGGUUCAUCACACUAGAAAGCCCUCUAUGGUUUGAAACAAGCUCCUAGGGCUUGGUAUGAUAGACUCACAGUGUUUCUCAUUAACAAUGGAUACAGGAAGGGAGGAAUUGACAAGACCCUAUUUGUUAAGAAUGAAGGAGGAAAACUCAUGGUGGCUCAAAUAUAUAUGGAUGAUAUUAUGUUUGGUGGGAUGUCAGAUCAGAUGGUCGAACAUUUUGUUAAACAAAUGCAGUUUGAAUUUGAAAUGAACCUUGUUGGAGAGCUUACCUAUUUUCUUGGGCUACAAGUCAAGCAGAUGGAAGAUUCUAUCUGUCUAUCUCAAAGCAAAUAUGCCAAAAACAUUGUUAAGAAGUUUGGCAUGGAGAAUGCAAGUCAUAAAAUGACACCUACUCCUACACAUCUGAAAGUCUCCAAAGAUGAAGAUGGUGUUAAUGUAGAUCAAAGUCUCUAUAGAAGCAUGAUAGAAAGUCUGAUAUACCUCCCAGCAAGCAGACCUGGCAUUGCUUUUGUUGUAGGUGUUUGUGCUAGAUAUCAAGCUGAACCAAAAGUAAGUCACAUAAACCAAGUGAAAAGCAUACUAAAAUAUGUCAAUGGCACCAGUGACUAUGGGAUGUUGUAUACUCAUGGAUCUGGAUCUAUGCUGACUGGAUAUUGUGAUGCUGACUGGGCUGGAAGUGUUGAUGAUAGGAAAAGCACAUCAGGAGGAUGUUUGAAGAACCCCUUGUUGAAUUAUAGUACCAAUAGUAAGAAACAAAAUUGUGUGUCUCUGUCCACUGCUGAAGCUGAAUACAUAGCAGCUGGAAGUAGUUGUUCUCAACUGGUUUGGAUGAAACAAAUGUUGACUGAAUACAAUGUCACGCAAGAUGUCAUGACAUUGUACUGUGAAAACCUGAGUGAUAUAAAUAUUUCUAAGAAUCCUAUUCAGCACAGCAAGACAAAACAUAUUGAUAUUCGUCAUCAUUUUAUUAGAGAACUAGUGGAAGAGAAAAUCAUAGCUCUGGAGCAUGUUACUACUGAAAUGCAAUUAGUUGAUAUAUUUACAAAGGCUUUGGAUGCUAAUCAAUUUGAAUGUCUAAGAGGGAAAUUAGGGAUUUGUAUCUACGAGAAUUUAUAGCAAUUAAUUUGGAGUGGAAAAGGUAAUAAAAAUAUUGUCUUCCCACUUAAAAGAAAGUGUCCCAUUUAUGGUAAAUCAUCGCCUAGUAUUGGAACUUCCAUCUAUUGCAAUUUCACACACAACCUCUACUCAAACAUUUCCACCUUCCUUCAACUUCAUCAACCUUCUCUGCUAGGGCAACAAAAAUCUUUCCACAAGAACAACAAGAUGUCACAACAUCCUUCACCAUCUGGUUCUAAAAACACCAAACCAACGCACAAAGCUAGAACGCCCUCUAUGGACUUUCUUAAUGAAGACAUUUUGGAAGUGAUUCCCCUGUCUGUCAUUCUAGGCGACGCUCCUGGUUCAUCCUCAACUGCAUGCCCUACUCAAGGUAACAGUUCCAAUAUCCCCUCCAUCUCUACUUAUACUCCUAGUUCUAAGGAUGACAUGCAUCACACUGAUUGUGUCAUUAGAAAUCUUGUCAUAAGGAUCCUUAAUGAAGGACACUCUGUAAAGGGAAUUUCUACUCCUCUAUAAAGAAGGGACCCCUCUCCUGAGGUUGGACCUCACAAUGAGAAGGAGGAUGAUUCCUCUAGGUCUGAAAAAGAUAUAGCUACUGAAGGAUUAUGCUCUUUAGGGAAAACUUUGUCUAGUAAGAAAUCUGUGGCAUCACCUACUGCCAAUGCUUCUCAGUCUAAGAAGCAUGACUCUGCUAAGAAGGUGAUUGAUCUGGAAGAUAAGAGCUUGGAUGAUUAAGAUGAUAGCUUGCUUCAUCACUUGAAUCCUAGUGUAGCUAAGAGGAUGAAAACCAGAAAGGAUAGGUCUGUGGCUGAGAUGAUGACAUCCAAAACUGCUAAGAAGGCUACUGUUGUAGGGCCCUCAAAGUCUUGGAGUAAAGUAGAGGUGAAGAAGAGAAAAGUAAGAGAAAGUUUUGACUCAGAUGAAGAUGUUGAAGAAGAUGUCCCUGACAUCUCUCCUGUCAAGAGGACAACUGUUAGAAAAUCCCCUGCAAAAGUUGCUGAUGUACACUUGGAUAAUAUUUCCUUCCAUCUUGAAGAUGGAGAAGCAAAAUGGAAGUUUGUAAUCCAAAGGAGAGUGGUUGUGGAAAGAGAACCAGGCAAGGAUGUUGUGGAGGUUAAAGAGGUCAUGGACCUGAUUAAAUCUGUUGGAUUAAUGAAAACUGUUACUGGGUUAUCUCAGUGUUUUGAAGGUCUGGUCAAAGAAUUUGUGGUGAACAUCCCUGAGGACAUUGCUGAUAAAAACAACAAAGAGUUUUGUAAGUUGUUUGUUAGAGGGAAGUGUAUCAAUUUUUCUCCAACUAUGAUUAAUAAGUUCCUAGGAAGAGGAACAGAAGGUGCUUGUGAACUCGAAGCCACAGACAAUGAGGUCUGUAGGGAAAUAACUGCUAGACAGGUCAAGGAGUGGCCUAGCAAGAAGCAUCUCUCUGCUGGAAAGCUAACUGUGAAAUAUGCUAUCUUGCACAAGAUAGGGUCAGCAAAUUGGGUACCAACCAAUCACAUCUCUACAAUCUCAAAUGCUCUUGGAAGGCUCAUAUUUGUUAUUGGAACCAAGCUUAAUUUUGAUUAUGGUAGAUUCAAGUUUGAACAAAUUGUCAUACAUGCUUCUACAAAUGCAGUGAAGCUGCCCAUAGCUUUUCCCUCAAUGAUUUGUAGGAUAAUCCUGAGCCAGCAACCUAGAAUUCUGAGUACAAAUGAUCUUCCUAGUAGAAGAAAACCUCCCAUGUCACUUCAUUACAAAUUAUUUGAAGGCAGUCAUGUCAAUGACAUUGUCAUGACAUCUGCUGUGAAGAAGACAGACUCAAAAGGUGGUCUGAUUGCUGAAUUGAGAGAAACUUAUAAGGAAUUGGAAACUGGGAUAAGGGUAGCUAAAGCCAGGAAAGAAGCUUUGGAGGUUAUGAUUGAUAGCUUGGAGCAAGCUGAUAGAGAUAAUGUUGGAUAGGCCAAGGAAACAGAAGCCCAAACCUCUAGUGAGAGGUCUGAAUCUCAAGAUGAAUCAAGUGGCAGUUCUGGUUCUCAAGCUGAUGAAGAUGCAAGCUCCUCUGAUUGAGUCUUGUUGAUGAUUGUUCCCCACUUUUCUGAUGAUAUCCUGUUCUGGAUGUUUUGAUGGUGUUUUUCUUGGCAGUCAUGUUUUGAUGCCUUGAUGUAUUUUUUGGGUUCUUUUUUAUUUCUCUAGAUUUUUAUCUCAGCUUGUAUAGUUGUGUUUGUUUGUGGUUCUGUAACACCUAACAAUAUGUUUUGACAUCCUAUGUGGCAUUCUGUUUGACUAAUAGACAUUUAUUUUGUCUCAUUGGUCUCUUUGGUCUCUUUUGGCUAAAAAGGGGGAGAAGUAGCUAAAGGAGUUGUAGCUAUGUAGAUAUGCUAUAAACAGAUGACAGAUGAUAUUGAAGAUGAUGCAUGUUGGAGAUAAUCUGUUUAGUACAGGUGUUGUUGAAAGAGAUGUCAGAUGGGGAGGUGUAUGUUACAGGUGUUGUUGAAGGAGAUGUCUGUGUUGAGCAGACUGAGGGGGAGAAGAAGCACAUGUGUGUUUAAUAUGUGUUUACUAGUUGUUAUUUUAGCUAGUAAAUGUGUGUUUUAUUACUUCUGCUCCUAAAUCGCUGAUGUUUUUUUUUACUCUUGUGAACAAAUGGUCUGAUGUAUGUUUUAGCCAAAAUUUGCCAAAGGGGGAGUUUGUUGGUUCUAUGUGUUGGCAGCAAUUUUGGUAAAACCUAGAGUGUUCACAAGUUGUCACAACUAUUGUCUACUUGACAUAAGAUAACAUGUACCUGCAGGUGUUUAAAAUGAAUGUGCAGGAUUUUACUGAGAUUCGACCUGAUGUCAUGACAUCUGUAUACAAAACAUUCAGUCUGAAUUUAUGUAUUAUAUGAUGUUAUGUUAUGUAGUUUUAGCCAAAAUUUGCCAAAGGGAGUUUGUUGGUUCUAUUUGUUGUUGCAGGCAAUUUUGUAAAAACUAAAGUGUUCACAAGUUGUCACAACUGUUGUCUUGACAUAAAUAACAUUGUACCUGCAGGGUGUUUAAAAUGUGAAUGUGCAGGAUUUUACUGAGAUGUCAGACCCGAUGUCAUGACAUCUGUAUACAGAACAUUCAGUCUGAAUGUUAUGUAUUAUGUGAUUGCGUUUUUUAUGUUAAUCUUUGUGUGAUUGAUGAGAUGAUUGAAUGCGCCAUUCAAUCAGUAAUUAGAAUGAGAUUGACUUAUUUUCCAAUGAGAUAUCAUCAGCUGUCAUGAGAAGAUAUGAAUGGAAAAUGGUUUUAGGGUUUUAUGAUGUCCAAGCCCAACCAAACACUUCUAUAUAAAGGACAUGGAAAACCUGGUUUUAUACAUAAGAAAUAACGAACGAAAUAUUGAGAGAGAAUAAGGCUUUUAGUCUUGUGUGGUCGUGUGUAUUAUGAGCCAUUCAUUCAUCUAUAGAUGAUUGAAUUGGACUGACUUUUGAGUUGUAAUUUGUCCAUUCUAAGCUUUGAAGCAUGAGUGUGUGUUUACUUGAUUGAAGCUUUUAAGCAAGAUCAAGUAUGUGUUCUUGAAGAGUGUCUUCUUUUCAUUGUAAUUCUUGUUUUAUAUCGCUGCUGUGAUUGAGGGGGAGUGAGUAGGAUCUCAUAUCUAAGAGUUCUUAGGUAGAAGUCACACGAGUAGAGAUUAGGUGAAAAGACUGUAACUUGAGGUUGUUUACCGAGAGUCUUUGAACUAAUUCUGUUUAGUGGAUUUCCUUCCUGGCUUGGUAGCCCCCAGACGUAGGUGAGUUUGCACCGAACUGGGUUAACAAUUGCUUGUGUCACUUGCAUUACCGUUCUUUAUCUUUUAUCCUGUUUAUAUUGUUCAGAUAUUAGUGUCGUGACAUUACCUUCGACAUCUCAUAUCUGAUACCAGAAUUUCAUGUAGUAAAACGGAAGCGACAUGACAAGAUCCUCUGCAACUUCUCUUUACAUGACAAGAUCCAAUCAUGCUUGGAGGAUCAUCAAAAGUUUGGAGACAUUAUAGGUCAUUUGUGGACUUGGUGAAAUUUGACCUAUUUUCAAGUGACUUUUCCCAACUUUAAAAGAUCAUAACUUCUUCAAUUUUUAACAUAUGAGUCUGAUUCUUUUUUCACAAUGACAUUUGUGAUACCACAUACAAGUUUUCCUCAAUAACUAAGGUCAGAAUAUGCUUAGAAGACCAUGGAAUUCAUUGAAACAUUACAAGUCAUUUUCAGCCAUGAUGCACUCAAAUGUUUCUAAGUUAUAUGAUCAGUUUUUCUUGUCAACUUCAACAUGACAUAAAUUUAUGCUCAAGCAUCCAAAAGCAACCUUUCUUGUCACAUUGUAAUCUUUGCUAUGAUGUUAACACAUUGUAAAAUGAAUGGGAUCAAAAAGCCUCUUGAGUAGAGUGCCCCAUUAGGUUGAACAUGGUGACUUGUAACUGAAGAAAUUGUCAUUGCCUGAGUUUUGAACUUCACUAAUCUCAAUUCCAAGCCAAAUUAGCAUGUGUUUUAGACCUAAACAUAUUUAACCAAGUCUCCAAAAGUUAAUUGACCCUUAAAACACAUCAUUUGGCUGAGUUUUGAUAAGUUACAAGUCACAUUUUUCACACACUCUGAUCAAAUUCAUUUUGCACGAAUUCUGCGUCAUUUCACACGUAUUUGGAUCCAAUCACACUCCCUAUAAAUAUAGGAAGCUAUUGCAUUCAUUUUCAAGCUUUUGAGAUCCAAGAGAUCCUUGCCACAACUUGAAAUAUUUCCAGAAAAUUCAAUUAUCGUGUUUUGAGUUCCAACUUGUUUCAAUCCAAUUUCUUGAUUCCAUUAGAACCUUCGACAUCCUAUGAAUUUUUUGCAACAAUUCCCAAGCUCUGAGACCUUCUAAAGUGCUCUAACCAGAUCGAGCUUCUUCAACUUCUGAUCACCAUUUGGACAAGGUAUUUCGGAGCAUCAUUUGAACUCAUACAAGUUACCAUAAUGUAGUCUUUUACUCUCUGAUGCUUUCCAAUAACUUAUCUGGUGUUGAUUGAUUGUGUUCAUCAUUUAAUUUAAUUUUUCGUGGCUUGCUUGUUUCUAAAACUUCUCUGAAAUUCCCUUUGCUCAGUUUAUAUAAAUGAAUUUGGAGCAUAAGGUUGAAUUCGGGAUGAGAAAAUGAUCACAAUGGUGGUGAUCUCGUGUCUUCAAUUAACCAAACAAUGAAACUCAGGUGAGAGCUCACCGGAGAAGACGACUGGAGUUUUCUCAGGUUGUCUAAGUUUGAUCAGACACAUUGGCAGAACGAAAUAUUCUGAUUGGUUGGAUUUGAACUGGAUCAUGUGUUUGGCUUGCAGUGCAUUCCAUCGUGUUCUCUAACAUAUGAAGUGUUGGAUCUGCCAAGUCAAUUAAUGAGGCAUGAUCCAACGCUCCGUAUUUUUUUUUAUUUUUUAUUUUUUUAAUUAUUUUUAAUUGAUUUUUUAUUUUAAAAUUCAUAAUAAUUCCAUUUCCAUCCAAAAAAUCCCAAAAUGAUUUAUAAAAUUCUCUUUUAUUUUUCUUCAUCUGAUUUUUAUUUUUCCAUAUUUUAUGUCACAAAUUUUCUAUUUUUCAUGAAUUUUCUAUUUUCUACUUUGUUUUAAUUGGUUUAAAAAUACUUUUCUGCAUUUUAAAAUUCUGAAAAUUUUAUUAUAUGCUUCUUAUUUUAUUUCUAACCUUCCAUAAUUUUCUUGGCCAUUUAUUUGGUGUUUUGAAGGACUUCAUGGAUUUUCCCUUUCAUUCCUAUUUUAAAAUUCAUUUAAAAAUACCUUUGAUGCAUUUUUAUUUUAUUUUAUUGCAUUUUAUUUUUGUAUGACCCUUGUGAACUUCUGUUGGCAUUAGAUCAUGAUGUUUUGGACGUUAAGUCUCAUCAAACUCAAUGGAUCUUGGGUGUUGAUGGGGUGAAAACCCUAAUCCACUAAAAUGGAUGAUUGGUUUUGAUGAUGACUUGAUCAAACUUUUUGGUCCAAUUUGGGUGUGACUUCUCUUGUGUCUCUCUUCUUCAUCUCUUUCUUUUCCGUUUGAUCAAUUGGAUGGCUUGUGUCCAUCUUGUUCAUGAUCUAUGGAUUGGUACUUGAUGAACUUUCAUCAUUUCAAAUCUAUCUCCUAAUUGAUCAUUGAUCAUUUAAGGUAAUUUGGAUUGAUGCAUAAGUUUAUCAUAAGUGUCAUGAAGUGUGGAUUGAAGUAAUGAACCAUUCUCCUAGCCUCUUUGCUUGAUCAUCCCCUUUCUUUAUUUUUUUCUGUGGCAUGUCUUAAGGAGAAUGAUUUACAUCAUUUCUCUAACAUGUAUUAACACAAACAUUAUUAUUGACCGAUCUCAGAUAGUUGUGACUUCUACAUAAGUCUAAUUAUGAUUGCUUAACAUAGCGCUAAAUUUGACCCAAAGAAAACAAAGGCAUUUUUAUAAGUGAGAUUAUAAGUCUCCUAUUCCUCAUGGCAUUGUAUGAAAAUUUUGCUCCUUUUCCAUUUUGUGAGAGCUAGUGUCAUACUUGUUGAUUUUAUCCAAGUUGAAGCCCUUCUUAUAAAUGAUGUAUAGGUUCAUAUUUUCAUGCUUGUGAGUGGAUAGUUGAGUAUUCUCCAAAAAAUGACCAAACCAUCUUUCAUCUUUAAUUACUAACAUCCUUUACUAACACUUUACUUGUAUUAACUUUUAUUUCAAAGUCAUUUACUUUAUGCUCCUUUAUUUUAUGUCAUUUACCGUAUACUUUAUAUUUAGCAUUCCAUACCAUAUUAUUUGUGUUUUUGUCAUUUUGUUCUUUGUCCAUUUGGACCUUUCUUUUAUAUCAUUGUAAAGAAGACAUUAAUAAAGAAAAACCUAAAAAAGAAACUUGGUUAUCCUGAUUCAUGGACGUGCGGUUACUAUCCUUCAUAUAAUUUGUGGAGUUAUGGACUUAGAAUUAGGAUCUUGACCUUUGCUUUGGGACUUAUGAUUUGAGACCCUAGAAUUCAUCUAGUACCUUUGAUUUGUGAUUUCCUUUUGAAGACUUGGUUAACUUACUCUGGUUUCAUCUGAUAUAUGGAUUAUUAUUUGCUUAUUCUGGCUUGCUUGAGGCUUAAUGCAAAUGAGGUUGUUCUUGUUUGACUUAUGUCAUAAAUCUUACUAUCUCUUGGUUAGAUCUUUCCUCCCUAGCUUUUACUUUAUGCUCUAGGAUAGUCUCUUCUUCUCCUCCCCUUCUUUAAUUUUCAAAACCUUCUCUCUUCUUUUAAAAACCUUCUUGUUUUUUUUUAAACUUGAACUACUUUCUCAAUAAACCUUGACUUUUGUCAAGUGAUUUUCAAAACCUUUUUCUUCUCCUCCCCCUUCUUUGAUGUGUCAAAACCUUGAGUUUGUUCUUGACAAUGCAAGCCAUAAGAAAACUCCAACUGCUACUCAUUUGAAGUUGUCAAAGGAUGAAAGUGGAGUUGAUGUAGAUCAAAUUCUUUACAUAAGUAUAAUUGGGAGCUUACUAUACCUAAAUUCUAGCAGACUUGCCAUCAUAGUUUUUGUAGGUGUAUGUGCUAGAUAUCAAGCUUAAACUAAAGCCAGCUAUCUCACUCAAGUAAAGAGGAUCUUGAAGUACAUCAAUGGGACUUAUGAGUAUGGUAUUUUAUAAACUCAUGACACAAAUGCAAUACUAGUAAGGUAAUGUGAUGUAGAUUGGCUUGAGAGUGUUGGUGAUAAAAAGAGUACAUCAGGUGGAUAUUUCUUCCUUGGCAAAAAUUUGAUCUCUUGGUUCAACAAGAGGCAAAAUUUUGUCUCAUUAUCCACUAAGGAAUAUGAAUACAUUAUUGCAUGAAGCAGUUGCACUCAAUUGUUAUGUAUGAAAAAAUGUUGAAGGAGUAUAAUGUCAAACAAGAUAUCAUGACAUUGUUCUGUGAUAACAUGAGUGCCAUAAAUAUCUCAAGAAAUCAUGUUCAACACAGUAAAACCAAGCACAUUGACAUUCUAUAUCACUUCAUCAGAGAUCUUGUGGAUGAUAAAAUUGGUAAUCGCAUGUAGCAACUGACAAAUAGUUGUGACAACAAGAUUUGGUUUUGCAUCUAGCCUUAUAUUUUGAUGAUAACAACUCAUAGACUCUUAGAGAAAAAUGGUGUACCCUAAUCAAUUUUUUUUGUAUGCAAAUACUAGAUUCAAGUUCUAACUCUAAAUAAAUUACAUGUGAUGUCAUCAAAUUCUGAAUCUAGUGCACUCAGACUCUGAGAUACGUGGUUUAUAAAAUAAUCAAGCUCUGGAUUUUGUAGUCAAUGCUUCUGAACUUAUGCUCAUACAAAGCUUUGCUACUCUGAUGAUUUUGGCGCUGAUAUGUGUCGCAUCUCGGAAAAAUGCACACACAAAAACAUAGUCACCAUCAAUGUUAUUUAUCCCAAGAGAGGGAAAGGAAACACCGAGUAAACCUACAAAAGGGUGAAUCUAAUGGUCUAAUAACCAAGAGAUGGGUAAGGGAGUCGAUUACGCAAGGGGAAGGUAUUAGCACCCCUAACGUUUGUAGUAUUCUACAAGAUCCACUAUUGUUGUUCUAAUCAAAAGGGUGUGUUUAUUCUAAAGCCUACAAACUAAAAAGGAAUGCAUGCACAAGAUUUAAUUAUUUACAAACAAAAAGAAAGUUUUUUAUUAUUGUGCUUGCUUAGACUUUACAACCCAAUGCCUACGUAUCCCGCAAGAAUCAGAGCACCGUAGUUCUUCUAAAACGAAGUGGAAAACGAAGUUUGAUUGGUUGAGUGCUUUGUUAAGAGAAUACAUCAAAUGAUCCACCCAAGGCAAGAGGUAUCUGAGUACUUCUCUCUUAUUGUUGAAAGAGUUCAAGUAGUAUUAGAAUGUUUUUGUAUUUUGAUUGAGAAAAAGGUUUUUGUUUUAGAAUGAAUGCAAAAGAGAAUGGAAAAUCUAAGGGAAUUCUAAAGAGAAACUUAAUGUUGGCAUGCAAUAGUAUUCCUAAAGUUAGGAUAAAAGGGAAACAUCUAUCUAAGUUAGCAUGCGAAGAUUGACCUAUGAUUAAGGAUCAAUGGGACUACCUAAUGUUGUCAUGCUUGGUUAACAAACCUAAGGUCCACUUUAGUUCAAUAUUAACCAAUAGUGUACAAAAGAAAUCCUAUGGGGAACAUGUUAUCCAUACAAUGAAAAGAGAUAGAAGAAGAUGACAAUCCAUAUCAAGUCAUAGAAAAAGAGGAAGUCAAUACCAUAUCAAGUCAUGGAAGCACAGAUAAAACAUACCAUAUCAAGUCCUGAAAGAAAAGGUAAAGUAAAAGUAGUCCAUAUCAAGUCAUGGAAAAAGACAAUAGCAAUCCAUAUCAAGUCAUGGAAAAUAUAAAGUGAUCCAUAUCAAGUCAUGGAAAAGAUAGUACUAGUAAUCCAUAUCGAAUCAUAUAGAAAGAUAAUAGCAAUGACAAUCCAUAUCAAGUCACAGAAGAAAAAUUGAAAUAAUCCAUAUCAAGUCAUGGAAGAGAAGAUGAAAACAAAUCAAUCAAGCAAGAGAUAAAAGGUGAAUUCUUAAGUCUAAAUAUGCUUUAAGAUAUCACAAACUAUCACCAAAAGGUCACAUGUUAACAAAUAGCAACUACUCACUCAAACUAGUCAUGAAAGAGGGAGACAAGACUCAAACAAGUUAUGAAUACAACUAAAGCAGGCAACAAGUUACUAAACCAAAAUGGGCAGCAACAUCACACCAAAAUAAACACAAAGACAUAUUUUCUAGCUAAAGGUCAUGUAUACAUGGUUUAAUCAUCCAAAGGUUCAAGGAAAGCACUCAAAUAGGCAUACUAGCAAGCAAUGGUCCUAAUGUGUCAAGUAUCUAAACAAACAGGGCAUGAGAAGAGUGAAGUGAAGGGAGAUGAGAAGUCAUACAAGGCAAUAUAAAACACAUCAAGGACCUAUCAUCAUCACCUAAGUAUACUUGAUAAAGAUUCUCAAUCAAAUCAUACAAGGAAUGACAACCACACAACCAUAAAUGGACAUAAGUCCUCAUGCAAUGCUAAUAAGAAAAACUAGUAAAGAUAAGAGAUCUGAGAAAUAAGUAAGAGACAAACAUAUACAUUUUAUUCAAUUAAAAAAAGUCUCAAGAUCAAUAAGAAUUUCAAAUCAGCAUUGAAUCCAUAGUACAAGCACCAAAGUACACAAGCAUCAUUCAAAGUUGUAAAGGGAAGUGAACAUAAGUGUGUGAGCAAUUAGAUAAGGCAAAGUACAUAAAUAAUGAAUGAGAUCAGAAGCUUAGACAUGGUGUCAAUACACAUAAUAAACUCAAGACAUCACAAAGUCAUCAUAUCAAAGCACACUCAAAGAUUGAUACAAGUAAUGAUCAAAAAUCAAACCCUAUUCAUGCUCCUAAAGGAAAAAGAACUUAAAGCAAGUAUUGAUGAAGUAGGAUUGUGGAAAGAUGGUAUAAAACCACUUAUUUCAGAAUUAGAUGAAAUAUUAAACUCAAAAUACAAGUCACUCAAGCAUCAUGAAUGAAUCACAUAAACCAUGUUCAAAGAUAGACCAAGAGAUAGGCAAACAAUCACACAAGUUCAAAGAAGCUUAAGCAAGAAGUAAUGAAACAAUGAAGGCACACACAUGACAUCAAAGGAUGUGUGAAUUAUUCAAUAAUUUAAUUCAAUAUGAGGUUCAAGAUAAAUAAGAGAAGUCAUCAAAACUUCACACACAAAUCAAAGUCAAGUAACUUGGUAAACAAGUAAAGAUAUCAUCCUAGAAAAGGAAUCCUUUAUCAAAAUUCAACAAGAUAAAAAAAGAUCAAAAAAGGGGUGCUUAUAGGUCAUGGGACAAUAUAAAAAUCCUCAAAGCAUCAAAUACAACCACCAAACUUCAAGAGGUAUCAACAAGCAAACAAACUCAAAGUUCAUGCACAACUAGCAAGUUAAAAAGGUGGGCAUCAUCCAAAUAAGGAGUCCUUUGUCCAAUCAAAGAAAAUGAGUAAUGUAAAAUGAAUUUUAAACAUGAAUAAAUGAAAUGGUAACAACAUCACACUAUACAAAGAUGGAUCCCAGGCUCCUAAGAGCUUCACCAUCCACUAAACUCAAAACUAAAUCAAGAAAAGAAGAAUUUAGCUCAUAAUAUGUCAUCAUGAUUAAGUGGAAACGGAAUACCAUUUAAAGAAUCAUAAGAGAAUGGUAUAAGUAUAUCAAUACCAAGGAAGUCAUAAGCAAAACAAGAAGAAACAAAUACAUUUGGACCAAUCGUACUCAAGUUGGAAUGUACAAGACAAAAUCUAAAUUAUGGUCUCAAAAGCAAGCAAAUAGUACUCAAGACAAACAAGCAAAGAAGCAUCAAUUGGAGGUACCUAAAAUGGUCCACAUGGGUGAAUCUAGGAAUCCUAAAUGAUGAUGAAAAGGUCAAGGAAGAAUGGGAAAUAGAUCCAAAAUGGUUGCACAAGUCAUACCAAAAAAAACAUCUAUGGACAAAAAUGUCACAAGAAACAAACAUACUUUAAAUAAUACAAGAAAAAUAGUUUAAAGUAUGGAAAAAUCAUGAAAAAUUAGACAUAUAAAGGUGAAGUCAGGAUCUCAAUAUAUCCUAAAAAUGUGCUUAAAAUAUGUGCAAAAGAUGCUCAAACAAACCUAACAUUUAAGCAAUGCACAAAUAAUUGAUCACACAAAGAAAUCUUCAAAAAUAGGUCCAAAUAUGAUUCAAAAUUAAUAACCAAAACAUAAAAUUAGUGAUAAAAUUUCCUAUAUACAUAUGUGUGCAUGUGUACAAAAAUUUGGAUCAAGAUCAAAAAGGAAAGAUCAAGAACUAAACUCUAACAUUCAAAACUAGGUCAAUUAAGCAAAUUUGAUUAUAAAAUCAUAAGUAAAUAUUAAAAUAAAUUAAAAAUGAAAUUAAAAAAUAUGUAAUUUUAAAUAACAUGCAAAAGAUCAAUCAUGAUUUUUUUUGGGAUUUUUGGAUAAAAGGAAAUGUCUAAAUAAAAAUUAAAAAGAAAAAUAAAUAAAUUUUAAAGGAAAGAAACAAAGAGGGUGCGUGCUAGUAAAUUGAAUAAAAGAAAAUUAGUUUAAAAAAAUGAAAAGUGGGCCAGAAUAAGAGGGUGGGAAAAGCAGAUGGCACGCGGCCCAGUCCAAACACCAACAGAAAACAAAACAAAAAAUUGAAUUAAAGGAAAGCGUGUCACGUUUUCAUGUGGUACACAAUAUCAAUCAGUUGCCUUUUUUUUAAAACACAAAAAGACAAAAACAACAAUAACCAAUCACGUCUCACCACCUCUCCAUAUUCAACCUUCGGCCAUGCAUAAAAACGAAAACAAAACCCUAAACCUUACCCAUACAUGCAUACUUUUUCCUCAGAUUUCUCUCUCAUGUUUCCACCAAAUCGAACAAAAUUUGAAGCAAACUUGUAGUACUCAAUUAGUAGAACAACAUGGUAUCCUUAGUUUUCACAAAUGAAUAAUGGAUCAUGGAGAAAAGUAAGCAACAAUAUACAGGUUCAAACGUGUUAAGCAUCAUUCAUUCAAAACUGUAAACAAAAGUUUGAGUCUAGCUCCAUGAUAUACUCAUUAGUAGAUCUUUCAGAUGCAGAUGCAUGAGCCUAAACAUGAUUAAUAUCUAAGCAUGAAGAAGGAUGAGGUGAAGAGUGCUUACCUAGUGGAGAGUGUCCACUGCACUUUUGGUUCUUUGAGAAGAAAGAAGAGUAGGAUCUGAGGAAGAUGAUGAACAAGGAUGAGCAAAAUAAAUGCUCAAAAGGAAGCUUCAAAUAGAGAAAAAUAAUGAGAGAUGGAGAAACUUCAGAUAUGUUUCCUUCCUUCCAACGUAUCCCCCCAAGGUUUAGAGAGUGAGAGUGAGUUUUAUAGAGGUUGUAGGUGAGGGUAGAAAGGUAAGUUCAUGCUAAAAAGUUUGUUACUCCAAUUUGAAAAAAAUGAAAGUGAGAGAGCAUGUAAUUGUGUGAUGCAUUUUGAAUGGUAUUGUGGUGAUCUUUUUGUGUCGUUUUGGAAGCUGAAAAGGAGUGGAAAAGGGUCAGCACGUGGGACUUUGGGACAGAGUGGAUGGAGCAAGAUUGGACAAAGGGAACGUUUUCCCUAUUUGGAAACGUUGAUGCAUGGUGUUCAUGCAUGAUAUAUGCAUGUUAGGUGGUCAUAAAAGGCAAAUAAGAGGUGAGGUAGGCGUGCAGUAUUGGCCAUGGUGCAAGCAAUUAAUAACAAACAUGCAUGAAACCAAUAAAACUCAUGAUAAUGAAAAUUAAAGAUCAGUCAUGCUCAAGCUAUUAAAUCUCCAUUGUUUCUUGACCAAAUGAAGUCAUCUUGGGCUUUUUGGAAAGAGGGAAAGGAGAUGAACAAGUUUCAUGUUGGAGGAAAUUUGAGACAAGGCCUAAAAGUCCAUUAAAAAUGGCCACGAAAGCAACAACUUGGAACUGCUUGCAUGCAUGUAAAUUAUAGGUCCUUUGGCAACUUUGACGACCCAACUUUGCAGCUCUAUAACUUGCUCACUAAACCACCAAAUAAGAAACUUUAUGAAGUUAAAAUGAAGAGAGGAAUUUGAUCUAUAUCUUUCAUGUUGAAGUUGCUUUGAAAUGAAGCUAAGAAGCAGCUCAAAAGUAGUUACUUGAAACUGAUUAAACACUUAGCAAAAAUUUUACUAAGUACAAACCCAAUUACAACUUUAAGGUCUUGACUUUGAAAGAGAAUAACUUGAGUUGUAUUAAACCAAAUGAGGAGUUCUUUGAACCAUUAGAAAGAGAAAACUUUGUACUACAAUUUUCAUGUUGAAGUUGUCUUGAAAUGAAGCUUGAAUCUAGGUGAAAAAUGGCCAUGAAGUUAACUGAAAUUAGUUGUAAACUAACCAAAAAUAGUAACUUUCGUCCAAAACCCUAAUUUCCAUUUUUGAUAACUUUUCAUAAUUCUUGAUUUUUGAUGAAUCUGUUGAAUUUUCUUUAUCAAAUUUCAACCAUAGACCAUAUUUGACUUGUAUAACACAAUUUUGACCCAAAAAAAUCAAGAGUUGACUUUUUGAUCUGCUUAGUUGACCUUUCCCCCAAUUGAAUCAAAUUAUUGAUCAUCUGAGUAAUUGAACCUCUUGUGAUUAAAAUUGAUCUGCUUGGUUGACCUUUCCCCCAAUGGCGUAUACUAUGUAUUGUAUGCAUACACCAAUACAUGUGACAUCAAGGCAUGCAUGCACCUAUGCAUGUGACGCCUACAUGCAUUGGCUUUGCAUGCAUGCGCCCAGAGCCUUGGCGCCUCCUAUGUAGGUUAAUCAAUUGCGUCAGUUCAACUGACGCAUCAGUAAAAAAAAGUGAUUAUUUUAAUAUAUUUUUUAAAAUUUUGAUUAUUUUGAAAUUUUAUUUUUAAAAACUGAUUAUUUUAGAAAAAUCUAACUAGUACUAGUAUAUAAUCCAACAAAAUCCAGGCACACAUCACUCGUUGAGUUGCGCGCCAACACUGUUAAAUUUAAAUAUUUUUAGCAAAUAUUAAGAAUUUCAAAAUAUAUUUUAUUUAAACUUUAAAAAAAAAAAAUUUAAUCGCUUCAUAUUAAGAAUUUCCUUCUAAUAUUGUAGCACGGACAGUUGGCAAUUUCUCUAGGCUAAUACUUGGCCUUACAAUAACCACUGUUUUAAGGAUACUUCUCUACUACUUUAGAGUUACCCUAUUAUUAAUUGAACAAGUAGAGAUUUAAACAAUUAUAAUUUUGUGAAAAUGACAUGCCAACCAAUUAUUAAUUACCAAUGGAGAAUAUAGAUUUGUACAAGUUAAACGUUGCUUGCACUAGACUACUAGAGAAACAUCCCCCUAUACACUUGUUUUUCACACGUGUGCAUGCAGUAUGCAUAAACUUUCACACGUGUGCAUGCAGGCUUCUACCAUUUUAGAAUCUAAAAAGUAUUGAUAUCAUCAAUUGAGAUUUCUUUGGGGACCUUCAAAUUUAAUUGUUGGGUAUCCCAUUUAGAACUUUUCAACUUUUGAAUGAAAUCAUCAAACCUAUCUUCCAAUUCCAUUAGACUAUUGGCAAGUUGAUCAUAUACAUUACCCUUGCUCUCCCAGUUCUCACUAAGCCAGAAUGUCUGCCAAAUACUUCGCAAUACCGAUAAACUUGUAGCUCCAACCUGCAAUGUGAUGGUAGAAGAUGAGAUACAACCCUACAUGCUUCAUUGAUUUUGAGCUUGAAACAUUAUAUCAGUUGUUUAUACCUUGAAAGAAACGUAAAACUUCAAAUCAUCUAGCUGCGGAUUCACAACAAGAAUAUAUUUUUCAUUUGCGUAUAAUUUGAGAAGAUUCUCUACCUGCACACCAUUCUGACAUUAGUUAUAUAAUUUCCAAAUGUAAAAUAAUUAGUUGUAAAACUGUGAUAAUAGCAGCAAUAAUGACCAUGUACCAAAAAAUGAGAUCUGUCCAUGACAUCCAUCUUCUCUAAGGGUGAACCGAAAAUUAUUUUUGGCUUCAUGAAUUGUGACCAGACUAAUAUAUUCUCUUCCUUGUUGCAUUCCAUGCAUCCUGAAAUAAAUCCAUUCGGAAAAUCGGAAAUUACCUUGAAGGGUAAUAACAAUAACUCACAACAAAAACCACUGAAUUUAUCUGAAUCUAACCUGGAACAGUGGAAUGUAAAACAUGUGAUUUUACCAGUAUGCGGGCACGCUUAAGAUUUAUCUGCAAAAAAAGUUACUUAUACGGCAAGAAAACAAAACAAAGCAACUGUUCGAACAAAGAUUGGUAGAUUUUAUUCUUUACCGUGUUAAACUGGAGAACUGAAAGUGAUUCAUAUCGUAGCCAAAUAUGAAGAAGUCGUAUACACAACCAAGUUGAUGACAGUACAGUAUAUGAUUUUACAAGGCCAGGUGUAUCCUGCGGUCAAAAGCUAAAAGAUUGUAACAUGGAAAUCAACGGUGUUGUGGUGCUUCCGCAAUAAGAAAUAAAGGUAUCCUGAAAAAUUAUGUAGUUUACCAGUAUCAAUAUGCCUAAACCAAGGCCAACCAAUUGAGCUACCACUUCCCAAACCUCUUCCUGAGAUAUUUUGAUGAAACAAUUAUUGUUGUAGUUUUGUCAUGAAUACAUGUAUAUAGAUAUGAUGCUUGAAAGCAUGAAAUCAUGAAGGCUCUAUAGAUAUGAUCAUAAGUGAAUGAAUGGCAUGAGAGUAUACAUCACCUUUGCUGCUACCUCUCCUAGAUUUGCGGAAAUUGCAAAGUGGCUUUGAAUCACUCGAAAAGAAGGAUCUUUUAGUCCUCUUGCUAUAGCCUGUUUUAAUGUCAAACACAGAAAAUCACACAACCAUAUGUGCUUGUUUUCAACAUACCAUAUGUGCAUUUAAUUACCUUAGUGAGAUUUCCAAGAGAUGCCAAAGGAAGAAAAUAUCCAGGAUAUAACUGGGUUGUAAGAUCAAAAAUGCUGCAUGAGAUACCAUUGUGGUAAGGGUUUCUUUAGAGCAAUAUUUCAUUUGCAUAUUUCCAUAUGAAAACAAGAAGGCGUGCUCAGACCUUCCGGCACUGCCAAUGAAGUCUGCAUACAUUCUCCAUUGCUUUGGAUCGUCAUCAAAAAGAUUCCCAAACCUCCCACCUGGAAAAAUUAAUAAACGUCAGUUUAAAUUAAAAAAUUAGUACAUAAUCAUCUGCUUCCUUAAGUUUUCUUCAUGAAUUCCCAGACCAAUGAAUAAGCGCCCGACAGCUCCAAUGCCAUCCUUUGAUACCCAUCUAAAGAUGAAAGCAUAAAAUGUUCAAUCAACCAGAGAUAAGUCAAAUAACAAAUAAUGGCUGCAAAGAAGCAUUUAACAUGAGUUUAAUUUUGACAUACUAGUCAGCAAAUCACAACCAAUCAUUUGCGUUACUUUAAAAGUAGUUAUAAUUGAUGUCAAGUGUUUUUAAUGAUAUGACAAUGUUGAUUGAUCGACGGUGUAAAAAAUAUUUAGGCUCAAAGUAUAUGAAUUAUAUCCUUAACAUAUUACCGUAUGUGUUUCAAAACGGUAUUACUAUAUACAAAAGUGGAAUAUUUAAAAUUCAUAAUCCACCUGAUGGCAGCAGCAGAAGCAGCUGCCGUGGUUCCAGAGAAAGAACCGACACCAACAGCCUGCAAGUGAAGGGGGAAUUUCGACACGAGACAGAAACACAAUCAGCAUUCCAUAAAUUUACGUGAGAGAUAAAUAACUUUAAACACAAGACGACACGGUGAAUGAGCGAGCACAUAGAAUUGCAUUGCACUACACUUUGUUGCAUGAUCACAUAGAAACAAAUAAAACCUUCAAAUGACUUUUUUAAAGGAACAUAUACAACUGCUGAAGGAAAUGGUUUCCUAAUCAAAUCAACAUGCUUUAGGAAACUUCAAUCAAGAUAAAAAAUCAUUUAUGUGGCAAUUAGAUGAUAGAAAUACCGAUAUAACGAUUUUUAACAUUUGCCCUUAACCGUAUGCCUUACUGACAUGCACAGUGAUAUUUUGUGCACUAAUUAUCAAACUUGAUGCUAAGACCACCAAAUGCAUAUUAACCAACUAUAAAAUUAAUCAAACAUUCAUAAUUCAAACAAUCUUGAGAAAAAGAAAAAUUAUCAACAAGAAAGCCAUGCCUUUAGCAGACUUGAAGUGACUAUGGUGUGACAUAUCCAUCCAGUCACAUUGGUAGGGAACUGUAGUACCAUGUAAUGCAAAUAAUCAUCUGAGACUGAUCCUGCAUCAUACUGAGAAAGAUAAGUAAACAAACAGUUACCCUCCAACUUCAUCUAAUCACUGAAGUUAAAACUCUAGUAUUCUAGUGAUCCUUAGUUCAGUCUUAAUUAAAUCAUUAGAAAUUUAUGACCUAUUGGAUACUAUUUCUAUGGCAUCAAGUUUUAAAGUAUUUCAUACCAAAAAAGAA